rnacentral:lncRNA from 1 species
AGGUUUAUAUCUUCACCGGGAUGAAGAAGAAUUGCAAAGAGAGAGAUCAUAGAGAAGCAUCAUUUGAUUAUUUACCUGUUGCUCUUCUUUUUCCCAGUGGGUACAUGCAUCUGUUGUUUGCAGUGUUAUUAGCCGGGGAUGUCAGCAUUUCCUAGUCAACUCAGUCUGAGAUCUGGUGCUUUAGCAGCAAACUAGUUAAGUUCUACCAUGAAUGGAGUUCAUUUGGUUGUAUCUACCUUAAAUGUUAAGUCGUCAUUCCCUGGCAGAAUUACGUGAAAAGAAGUAGAUGUUUGUUUCUCUUUGUGAGGGAGAAGUUUCAAUGUCUGAGUCCGGUUAAUUAGAUUCCUAGGACUUGACAAUGAUUGGUCACUGCACUGCACUGAAGCCUGUUAUUUGACAGGAAUCUCUUCCUCAUCCUCUUCUUCUUCCUCCAUUUCUUUGGACUGUUGGAGCAGAUUUUCUAGUGAUAUUUUUCAUGUGUUUACUGAUUAUCUAAGAUGCACAGUUAAGCAUUUAUUCUGUCAUGAUACAUCAUUGUGACGAAUUUUUCCAGUAACUGUUGCCGUUAGAUUGGUGUUGUUAAUAAAUUGUGCUGUUCAUGAACUUGGACAUAUUUUUCCUGGACUAACACUCAGAGAUCCGAAUUUGUUAGCAGGUCAUUAAGUAUGGUUUUGUCAUACUGUUCAUUGUUACGAUUUGGGGAUGUUAUGUCAACAGCCUAAAGAGUCUCUUGUCUCUUCAAGCCACAGUUACGAACUUCUCGACAAAUUUCCUCGCUUCUGGAUUAGCUGGGUUCUUUUUAUUUGAUGAGUCAUUGAGAUACCAGGUACUUUGAUUAACUAUUUUCCUGCCCUGUUCUGCAAAGUUAUGUACUUCAAGGUUUGAUUUUUUAUUGUGUUUAAAACAAGAGGCGAGCUCUUAUUGUUAUACCUGGAACUAUCAAAAGUUUUUUUCACGUACACAAGUAAUAUCACGACUGCAUUUAGUUCCCUCAAGAGAAGAAUUCUCUCUAUGGAAUCGGAACUGGUAAUCUUGAAAGUGGCAAAUAGGCCAAAAGUUGGGAGUCAAAUUAUGCAAUAGAUAACUUCCGAGUUUGUUAUCUCAUGAAUGCAUUGAGGGUAAUUAUGCCAUCAUAAGUGGGGAACAACAGCAUGGAGAAGGAUUUUAUAUUUCAGAUGAAAGCUUCUGAGAUCAAUGUGGUUGCUAAAGAACAGAGCUAGUUUGCUUCAUGCAAACCUGUUGUUCAGGGAUUCUUGGUGUAGUCUCCACCUUGCGAUAAAAGGCAUUGUGUACUUCCUAGUUCCUGAUAAUGACUUGAGUUUAGGUUUAAUCAUUGCUAUCUUGACUCGCAUUAUGGUUGUGAUAUGGUUGUAAAAUUGUGAUUGAAAGGAGGCAAUGAUUUUUGAGAUUCUCACUCCACUUAGUCUAUGAAUGCAGAUUUCACGAAUUUCACAUAAAGUCCCGUUCUUAGUGGUUUGCAGGUGCACUUCUUAUAGUGAUUGGUGUGCUAAUUCUCAGCAAAUCAAGUAUCGAGAAGAAAAGUAGAGUUGAUUGAAAGUUCUCAGUUUAUGAGAGAUACCAUACGCCAUGCUUGAAGGUUGCCCCCUUUUGCUACAGGCAACAGUUGCCCUGCUUCUCUGCUUUAUGUUUUUCUUUCCCUUCUCUCUUUUAAGUGCCCGAACUGCCUGUACUCAUUUAUCUUUUGUGGAUUUGCUGGUGACUUAUAAAUGAGAAGUUACAUUCUCGUGCCACUCUCAAGGAAGGAAAAAAAGGAAGCUGAGAAUUGAGGAUAGAAGAGUGUUUCCUUCCUGGCCGGUCAUUCCGCGUGAAUGAUCACUACUUGCUGCGACUGGCAGCACCAAGGUUGCUAUGUUGUUAAUGCCAGGAUUGCUAUGUUACUGUUAAUGGUGACGGUAAGAUAUAGCUACAAAGCAAGCUGCAAACGAGUAGGCUAAAACAUUGGUAAGUGAACCUUAAUUUAGGCGCUCUGGAAAGGCUGAAUGUGUCGUGCGCGCUUUGAGAGCAUAAAGCUAAGACCCAACAAAGAUCAUCUUUACAUUAAUAUAAAUCAAGGUCUUAAUGUGAGCUUAUACCGACAUGUGCUAUGACGUAAUAGAAAACUUGCGGAGGAUUUAAUGGACAUCGUGCGUUACGGGGCCGAGGUUGUCUUCUAACUCACCUCGACCCGAACUACUCUUGCUAUAAGACCCUCCAUUCCUUUUGCCCCUUAUUAAAAGUUUGUUACUUGUAUGAUCUAAAACACGACAACGCAUGGCCAAAGUAAUAGUUUUUCUCAUUACCAAUCUAAACUUAAAAUUUGUAAAAUCAAUUCGGUGAAAAGAUCGGUGCACCAAAUUGGUGUUCCCCUCAAAAUGUGGAUUUUUGGCUGGCACAAUAAAAUAAUCAAGUAACCUAACAUUAUAUAUAUAAAGCAUUUUUUGGGGUUAACUUAUUAGAUUCAUGUUUAAUGAGUUUAUAAUGCAGCAUCGUAGCACGACGUGAGAAUACAAUAAUUUUGAGUGUGUUUGUUUCGUGGAAAAAGAAUAAUUUGAAAAAUAUAUAUUUUUAAAUAAUCGCUUAAAAGAAUUAAUGAGUGGAAAAUAUUUUUCAUUGUUCAUGAAAAUAUUUAGACAUAAAAUUAUUAGUAAUAAAAAUAUUUUUAUUGAUUAAUGAUUAUAAGCAAUAUAAACGCAGGCCUUAACGAGAAAAUGUGGCUUAUUUUUUCAUUUCUCAUUGAACUGUCACUGUUCAGGUAAGGCUCCGCCCGACAAAUGGGCUCGAGGCGCGAAACUGAGGAUGAAUCAGGACCGUUGCUCAAAGGCGAAGGGCUCGCCGACUAAAAUGCGUCCGCGCACACCGGAUCGCGGCUCACCGUCUCUCUCCUUCGCAUUUUCCCGCCAGAAACCCAUCCCCGUCGACCUUCAUUUACCGCCAAGUCUCUCUCUCCCGCCCUCUUCCCUGACCUAAACCCUCACUCGCGAGGCUCUGCGCGUAAUUGAUCGGCGGCGUUAUGCGAAUCCGGGAUCCAAUUUGAUGUUGUGAUGAAGCCGACAGCAAUCGCGAAGGAUUUCCUCUCGAACUUCGCCAACGCGAAUGGAGAAGCCAAGUACAUGAACGUCCUCGUAAGUUCCUCCUCUCUCGGCUCUUGUUUUUAUACUCGGACAUCCUUUUAAGCGCUGUAGAAUUGAGGCGAAAUCAAUGUUAAAGGUGCGUGCUUGAUCGCACGUCGUGCCCUAUCCUUUUCUGUUGUCCAUGAACUGCGGCUGCGGAGUCUCUUCCGUGUGCAAUAAUGCUCCAGUACUUAUAAAAUGAUUAACCCUAGAUUUCACAUUUGAGUCGAGCGUAGUUCCCUUUUUAUUUGCAAUUUAAAUGGCUCGCAUGAGGGUCGCCAUUCCUGAUUUCAGCAAGAAGUUGCAAAUCGAAAAAUUCGUGAUAUCCGUUUUAUUAUUCCGUGAUAUCUUUCAUUCAUAAGCUAUAUGUUUAAAAUAGAUAGUAAUUAGCUAAAUAAUCGGUGACACCAAAUAUUAAAUAUUUACCUAACAUCAUCAUAUUAUAAAGUUACUUUCGAUUCCGAGUAAUAAAAGCAGCACACAUCCUCUCUCUCUCUCUCUCACUCACUAACACAGUGGUCGAGGCGUCAGACGUGGUUGAGGCCCCCCUCAUCGUUGCAUGGCUGCUCCCGCUGGCCUGGCUCGUGAGCCGGAUGAUAGGCGCCGCAAGAUGAAGCGGCUGCUGCGAUUGGCUUCAGAAGAAGCCGUGCGAGUCGAGCUCAAGGCGUGGAUCGAGGCGUGGAUCGUGGCGUGGAUAGGCCCGAUUGAGGCCCUCAUCCUCUGCAUCAUAUGACUGCUACCACUCGUGGCAUUCCUCAUCCAGAGGAGUCGGUGAUGAUCGGUCAAGAGGAGCCUCAAGAUUGAGCGGCUGAGGCUCCAUCGGGUACAUAAGGUCGUCUCCCCUUUGCUACUGUCACUGUCCCGUUUGCUAUGGACGUGAUACCUAUAGAUGCUCACUGUCCCGUUUGCUAUGGACGUGAUACCUAUAGAUGCUCGCACCACCAAGCGACGCGAUGCUAGUGAUUUCGAUAGUUUAAUCAAUCAGUCGUGGCAUCUGGUGUAUGGUCGAUGAACAAUCACUAGCGAAAAAUUUACUAUGCCUAAUUUGGUUAUGUACAUACUAGUCAUUUAGGAAGAAUCAAUCAGUCAUGGCAUCUGGUGUAUGAUCAAUGAACAAUUACUAGGGAAAUUUCCAUUGUUUAUUACAAUAUUUCCUAUAUACAUUCGCCGUACCGUCGUCGCUCUCGCCCGUGGUUGCCCACGGUCGCGACCAACUCUCGUUGCCAUGGAGGGAGAGAGAAGGGCCGUGGCGACUGAGGGGACUGUGGGGACAGCGCUCCUGAAUUCGAGCAAUUCUCGAGACGGAGUCUAAGCUCGAAUAUGUCCGCGAAGGACGCGAUUUUCUUCGCUGCUGCGGCUAACGAAGUGGAAUCCUUACGCGAAAUCGCGUCGGGAAGUCCCACCACCAAGUACGAACCUGUCUCUUCGCUGAUGGAUCCUCCCGAUCAGCGGAAGGAGUCGAAGUCGAAGUUCGUCGUCGCCCAUUGUUCGCGACCACCCCACUCUCAAGACUCUCCAUUCAGCCACGGGUCCAAUUCUUCGCUGCCUGCGAUCGUAACUCGUUCCUACCAAAAUCUCAAGGGAGAUUUGACUACCAACGUCUCUCUCGUCCAGCGGUCUGUGUCUCUCCCUCUUCCCUCGAGCUUGCUCUAUGAUCAUGGGAGAGCGUGCGGGCCGAUGCUUCGCUUCGCUCCUCCGCUCGUAAGAAGGAAAGGAAAAAAAGAGCGAAAAAGAGAGGGAAAAUCACAAAAAAAAAGGAAAAAAAGAGGGGAAAAUAGGGAAGUUCCCAGGUUUGGUAGUUUGUUAGGGGCGUUGGCGGAUGAUAUGCCCACUUAACAUUUUGGAUCAUCAUCUCUACUGCGGUGAAUCAUUCAUCAUCGAAUGAGGAUUCACCAUCGAAUGAGGAGAGACUUGUGUCUGUGGAGACAUACAUGACAUUCAUGAUCUAAUCUACUUAAAAUAUGCUUGAUGAUUGUGCAUUUCUUCAAGCUUUAAUGUGAUGAUAUCUACAAAGGACAUAUAUGUUUCACCAGGGGAGCUCCAAAUAUGCAAAUGUCAAUGUUAACUACAAAAUCUUUCUGCUUGGAGAGCCUGCUAGCCAUCACUAGCCAAAAUGAAAAGAGGAAAAAAUUUUAAAAAGAAUUAAAAAAUUUCCACGUCAAUGCGAAUCACACCUUAUAAGAUAGCUAACUUUCAAAUCAAUGGAUUGGACUCAAUUGUCACAAAUAUAAAAAAUCAAUGAUUAAAUUAAUCUAAUCUAAAGAUUUAAAAGUGAAUUAGUAUUAAUAUAGUAUGUUUAAAUAUUGAUAAAACACAAAAUUGUACCAUGAAAUGUCACAUCACAAAAUUGAAGAACACUACAAAUAAGUAAAAAUCAUAAAAAUUGAAAAACACUACAAAUAAGUAAAAAUCAUAAAAAUUGAAAAAUAAACAUCAAAUAUGAAAAACAAAAAACAAAGAAAAAGAUGAAGUUUGCAGGGUUUAUAUGUCGUCCCAAUAAGGGUUGGCGAUCCUCAUCGAGGUCCAAUUGAGGGCAGUGAGCCCUCACACAAUAGUAGUUGCAAUAACCAUCAUUGGGCCCCAACAAGGGUCUAUCCAACAAAUUGUGCCCCACUGCUGCAAGGGGCAUUACCUCCGUCCAUCUCUAGGUGAGUCACCCUCACGGAUGCAAAGCCGCCCCCUUAUUGCCCCUAACAUUUUUUACUUUUCUGAAAUCAUUUCAAUCCUUUUUUUUUUUAAUAUUUAUGCUAUUUCGUCCUCUUUUUUUUUUUUUUUUUUUUUUCCUUUUUAGCAUUUGUCUUUUUGACGCGGUGCCUAUUCGACAGCGAGAGAGGAAGAGUGAACUCUCCAUUUUUGGGUCCACCGUUGGCUUUCUUUAUGAUUAUCUUAGGAUGGUUUGACAGUCCCAUUAACUCAAUGAGAGAGAGAAACUCUCACUCUUCACCUUAUAUGAACUUAAUUUGACCAAUCUUUUUUGCCUCUCUUUCUUUUUCCACUUUUUCCAAGAAGCUUCGCGGAAGCAUCUCGGGUCAUUAGUUUCGUCGAAUUUAAUGUCUGAAAAGGAAACUCCACGGCUUCUUGCAAUACCCGUCCUUGAUUUCCUUUGAAAUGAAGUUGCUCUCUUGAGCAAACCCUCUUCGAAGUAGUACUCAGGGCUGUCAAAUGAUUGGUUCGAAAAUGGUUAAGCCCUAAUUGAUCCAUGUAAUUUUGAUAAAAAAUGACCUAUAUAACUUCUUUUUUUUACUCAUUUAUAUGAAAUACAAAGUUAAUGUCCCAAUAUAGAGCCAUAAUUUUGACUGACGGAAGUGAAAUUUUCACUGUUAUGCAUCUUAAUUUUUUUUUCUAAUAUUUGUUACUAAUAGGUAUUUCAAAUGAAGUCAACUCAAUAAAUUAGUAAAAAAAAUUACAGAAGACUGAAAAAAAUUAACUCAACUAAAAUAGAAUAACUACUCAAAGUACAUUUUUUUAAAAACAAAAGUAAGAGUACCAAAAUUGCCAAAACAUCAUUACAAAUGAUAAAUUGAAGAAUUAAAAAUGGCAAAAAUUGAUACACCCCUUCCGUACAAAGAGUGCUUAGGCCCUUUCAACCUUUUCUUUUAAUUGAGGAGAGUGGGGAAGCAAUAACACUUAGACCGCCAACUUUUUUGAGAUUAGUGCAUUUAAAAUUUUAAACUCAUGGCAGAAGUGUAACUGAAUUUUAAAAUUUAAGAUAAUAUAAUCAAAUAUGAAAGUUUGCAAUCAAAAUUGAAGAUGCUUAAAAUAUUACUCUAGUACAAAUCAUCAAUAUGUGUUGUGUUGAAUGUUAAACGCAAACAAAACCUGAAAGUGUGAAACUCAUGGCAGAAGUGUAACUGAAUUUUAAAAUUUAAGAUAAUAUAAUCAAAUAUGAAAGUUUGCAAUCAAAAUUGAAGAUGCUUAAAAUAUUACUCUAGUACCAAUCAUCAAUAUGUGUUGUGUUGAAUGUUUGCUUUGUUGAUUUGAUAAUUGUAAUGUCCCCAUAAUCGUUUCAUCAAAUAUGUGAUGGAUGGAAAGUGUAGAAAAGAAGUAAAAAAAGAAUAAAUGCACAUAACAAUUUUUUUCAUAGUGUGAUUGUUUAGAUAUAACUGAACUUGUUGACCGAGAGCAACAUAAGUGUCCACCGGGUGUCUGGAUUGCAACGCUAAUGCUACUACAUGGCUACUAGAUGUUCUCUUUGAGAGAAAAUAUUGAAUAUACAAGUUGUGUCAGUGUAACAAAUUAAAAGCUCAUCUAUUAAGUGACAUGUGUUCUUAAAAAAUGCACUUGAAAUGGGAAUGCUCAUGUUUCAAAAUGGCGUGCAAGUCGCUCUCUCGAGGAAACCCUCUUCCUAAGUAGCACUUGGGCUAUCGAAUGGUGGAUUGGUUCGAAAAUGAUUAGACUCUAAUUGACCCAUGUGAUUUUGAUUAAAAAAUAAUCAAUAUAACCUGUUUUGACUCAUUUAUAUGAAAUAUGAACUUAAUGUUCCAUAAUAGCACCACAAUUUUGAGUGGUGGAAGUGAAUUUUUCACUAUUAUGCAUCUAAAUUUUUUAAUUAAUAUUUGUUACUAAUAAGUAUUCCAAAUAAAGUCAACUCAAUAAGUUUUCUAAUUUUUCAAUUUAUAUUUUUACAAUAGGUAUUUUAAAUAAAAUCAACUCAAUAAAUUUUCUUAUUUUUAAUUAAUAUUUGUUACAAAUAGGUAUUACUAAAAUGAAGUCAACUCAAUAAAUUAGUAAAAAAAAUUACAGAAAACCGAAAAAAUUAACUCAACCAAAUUAGAAUAAGUACUCAAAGUACCUUUAUUUUAAAAUAUAAGUAAGAGUGCACAAAUUGCCAAAACAUCAUUACAAAUGAUAAAUUGAAGAAUUAAAAAUGAUAAAAAUUGAAACACCCCUUCCAUACAAAGAGUGCUCAGACCGUCAACUUUUAUUUAUAGAUUAGUGCAUUUAAAAUUCUAAACUAAUGGCAAAAGUGUAACUGAAGUCUAAAAUUUUAGAUAAUAUAAUCAAAUCUGAAAAUUUACCAAAUUGAAGCAAUCAAAAUUUAAGAUGCUUAAAAUAUUACUCUAAUAUAAAUCAAUAAUAUGUGCUGUGUUUAAUGCUAAGCGCAAAACAAAUCCUCAAUGUGUGAUGUCACUCAUUGAUUGUGUAGAAUUUAGGCAACAUUUUUUUUUUGGUCGAAACUUAGGCAACAUUUCAAUAAGUAGAUUUGAUAAUUACAACGAUCCACAUAAUUGUUUCAUCAAUAUGUGAUGGAUGGAAAGUGAAAAAAAAAAGGAGUAAAAAGAGAAUAAAUAUGCAACAUUUUCUUUUCAUAGUGUAAUUGUCUAGGUAUUAUUGAACUUGAUGUUGACCGAGAGCAACUAAAUUUCCACCAAGUGUCUGGAUUGCAGCAUUAAUGCUACUACAUGUUCCUUGGGAGAAAAUAUUGGUUGUGCAUGUUGUGCCAGCGCAACAAAUUGAAAGCUUAUUCAUUGAACAACAUGUGUUCAUCUUCUUGCCCUUUCUCUGUUCUCCCACUGCUUUCUUCGUUCUUUUUGCAAGCCACGGAUGGUCUCUCUCCUCCGUAAACCCCUUCUCCUCCUUCGGCCCUCCCCCUCACUUGCCCGGGGCACGACAACGUCAUUCACCCGGCCUCUCCUUCACUUGAGCUCGACCUUUGUGCCUUCCCCACCAACAACAGCUCCACCAUUGAAAUCAUCCGCUGCCCCUGCGGCCCUUGGAUCCAAGAACAAGCCUAAGUCUCCCGUGCUCAUUGUCAUCACUCAUGAUCCCGAGCCCCUGCAUCCUUGAGAUCUUCUGUGCUCUGAGUCAUCCCUCCCUCCGUAGCUUACGGAUCUAACAAGGGCUUAGUCCUUUAUAGAUUUAGCGCAAGUGACCCUUACCCUAGUCGGGAGAGUCAACCCUCACCGAAUCCCCUCAUUAGAUUCGGCGAGAGCAACCCUAGCUUGUGGCCAGUCACCGGCCACAACCAAGUACUGGCCAUAGGUCAAAGGGAAAGAAAGUAAUUUAAAAAAAAAAAAGGAAGGGAGAAAUGGCAAAAAAGAAGAAGAGAAAUGGAGGUGCAAGUCUGUGAGAGGAGAGAAACGAAGGAAGAAUAGCUUGAUAAGUAAGGGCGCGAUUGGUAAUGUUUCUGUUCAAAAAUUGUUCCAGGGAACAGAAAAAAAAAAGUGUUUAUGUUCCGAGGAACAGUUUUUGAACAAAAGAACGCGUUUGGUAAGUGUAAAAAAAAACUGUUCUUGAAAUUAAAAAAAAAAAAAAAACAGAAACACGUUUGGUAACUGACUUAAUUUCUGUUCCUAGAAUAGAAAAAGAACAGAAACACGUUUGGUAACUGUACAAAAUUUAUGUUUUAAAUUUUUCAAAAAAUGUUUUUUUUUAAUAAAAUUUAAACUUGAUAUUGAAUUCUCAUUCUCAUGAAAUGCUCAUUAAUUUAAUUUUAUUCAUGGUGAAUAAAGACAAACAUUCUGAACAUGAUCACAUGACAUACUUGGUAGAAAAUUUUGUAAAUAAAGUUUGUAUCAAAUUUUUAUCAAAUACUUUAUUUUUUAUUUUUUAUUUUUUAUUUUUAUAUCAUAUCUAAAUGUUCAUAAACAAUCUCCAUUAUCCAAUCUGUUCCCUAGGAAGUUAAUUGACGUGAAAAUAAUCAAAAUCUAGAUGAGUUCUAGAUUCAGACUUUCUUUUGAAGGCUAAACUCACUGUUCUUGAUAAUAUAGCCCCCUUAUUCGGAAUCACUCAAACUGCAGGUGGGUGAUUGAAGCCUACAUCAGUCUUCGUUAUAAAUUUCGACCAUCACAUUCUAUAACAGAAUUUCUUUUAGGUAUGAGUCAUUUUAUAUCAUACCAAUUACUUGAUACGAAAUAACGUUGUCUUAUAGACAUAUAAUUAGAAUGACACAACAACAUUAGAACUACAUCGGCAAAGCCGCAAAGUUGAAAAUAUUCUAGAUUAUAUUGAAACACCUACAAUGAAUAAAAGACUGAAUUAAUAAUUUCUCUUUGGUGACUGCACUAAGAGUCUUAAAAUUUGCACUGCAAGUGUACUCAACGGGCUCAACGCAGAGCCAUGCAGACUCUGCAUCUUCAAGCUCGCUCUCUUGCGGAGUUAUCCCUGAGACCGCAUUGAAUUGGAUGUCCACGGGAGUUAAAAUCAUCGGAAUCCUGAGCCGGCCAUCCCCCACCGACCUGUCUCAAUGAAAGCUCCCCUUUUCCGUUCUUCGCUUCCAAAAUCCUCAACGUUUUCGACUUCCCACGGACAACCUCUAGCCCCUUCUUUGAGUACUUGGGUGCCACCAUAAUCUCGCAGAACAUCCGAGUUUCACCAUCCGUUGGGCUUGUGAACUCCUGGACUUCCCUCGCCAAGUUCUAUAUGCACAAUAGGACAUUGCAAGGUUAGUGUUGACAUUCAACUCAAUCAACUUUAUCAAGUGAAGCAUUACAAUACUGACUCAGCAAUAGGAGACCCGCACCUACACCAGUGUUGUUUCAAUUUUGAGGGAAGCCCGUGCUGAAUGAGGCUUAAAGUUUUAAAAGCUCACGCCCCUUUUUAUUUAUCAGAGAAUUAUAAUAUAUUAUGGAAUGUGACCAUGGCAUAACAUUUAGCCUAAUUUGCUCAAACUAGUUGACUCAAGAAUGAGCUUCAAUAUGGAACUCUAUGGAUUUAAAAAAUGAGGAGCCUUUUUCAGUUUAUUAUAUUUGGACUCGGUGGGUGUACUAUAUAAGGAAAUUCGAAUUUUCACUUUGUAACUUGCAUAAUGAAAUAAGCAUAUACCUCAUCAAUUUCUAUGUUGAAGGCCACGAUAUCACCAAAUGCACUGACUGGAUCUGCUUUGACUGCUAAUCUGAAUGCUUGAAGAAUAUCGGCGGGGGAAGCCACCCCAUGAGGAUUUGUAUGCUUUAUGACGAUGCAUGUAGGUCACUAAACUCGGAUACACGAUUCCAGGCAGCAUCAACAUCCAGAUAGUUAUUAUAUGACAUUUCCUGCAGCACCAAUACAUAAUUCACAACAAAUGAGAGAUAGAUAUGCUAUUGUUACCACGAUCUGUCAAUGGUUUAAACGAACUUUGCAGAACAAACUACUAUUGCAGUUGCUCAGAGACUUCUAAACAGCAUCCAGUCUCAUCUCAAAAACACAUGGUUAUGAUACUAAAAGGCAGCCAAUUAGUCCCCUGUAUCGCUAAUCUCCUUUGCAAAACAUUGUUAGUGUUUCAUUAUACCUAAACCUUUUGCACGCUCAAAUACACAGAUAGUUAUGUUGAAGAAGCAAAUAAAGUGCCAGAGAGAUUUGAAUUGAGUACCUCCUGUUCUAAUAACAUAUUGACUUCUUGAAGCCUUUGUUAAUUUAUCAAAAAGCUUUAGCUAUAACAUGAAGAUACUAUCUAUUAUUUAGAUUUAAUAACAAGAUUCCAUUUUAGAAACUGCCUCCUCUAUCUAAUGAAGUUUUCAAAGCUAGAUAAUUACUAGAUCCGCUGCAAUUUCAACUUCCUCAAAAGAUUGACCUUGAUGUAAAAAUAUGACAUCAAGGAAUCGCCUUCCAUGAUGUUGGAUUGCAGUUGCAAUACCACCUCCAUUAACCUUAGCAAGACUCUUGUCCACAUGUAGCCUUAUGGUGGGGAUUUUCACCAAUAUGAAGAGAACUUUUAAGAGAUAGAGGCAAUGUUAAGCUAGGAGGGAAUUUCUCUAUCAAAAGGAAGAGUCGUCAACCUCCACAUUUUCGGUUAAAAAACUAAUAGGGUAACAGAACCUACUGAAAUUACUGAUUUCCAAAAGAAACAAACAAAAGGAUACCAUCAGAACCAAGUCUCUAAAAAGCCCCUUACUUGCAUGUGUUUAGACCUACAUGCAUUUUUAAUUGCCUUAGUGGCUAUGACAUCAAUUGAGAACACGAACUAGACGAAUACCUCCAGUUGUUUGUCUCCAUAGCCACUCUGACACUGCAGAAUCAUAGGAAGCAACACUUUGAAAGGCCUUUCAAGCAAGUUUUCUACGGAACUGUUGAUCAUCUCCAUUACUCUUCAGGAACUCUAGCAGUGCAGGGUAGUCGUGUGAAUCAACCACAACAAGGACAUCUGAUGAUUCUGUUAGAAGACAAAUGCCAACAUCAAUUCAAAUUAAGGGCAUAUAAUGGUUCUUGACGCAAAAUUACAGAAAAAUUUACCACAUGCAUAUUGAUACAUAGAGGCGCAAAGCCAGCAACAAUUCUACAAAAAAAGUGCAACAUAUUGGACAUACCUACUUUAGUUUAUAAUUUAACAAGCAUCACAAGAGCAAUUGUUUAGUUUUAGCAUAAAAGCAUGAGAGAAAUCAUUACCCAAAUAGUAAGAAGAUAAUCUGGAGCCGCAAUCUCAAUGUAAAAGUUAACAUACUUUCAGUCAAUUACAUGCCUCGGUUACAAGUGCCGUUGUAGCAAAGUUUGCAUGAUAUCCGUGAGCCUAGAGUGACAGAAGACACCAAUACAAUCAUAAUCCCUCACAUGUCCAAAUUUGGGCGAGCAACGCUCGCUUGGGGCUCGAGCACGAGGGCUCGCUCGAGCGAGCGUCGUUGCUCUGCCGAGCGACCAAAGCAGCUCGAGCUCGGCAGAGCAGCUCCAACGAGCAACGCUCGCUUGGGGCUCGAGCACGAGGGCUCGCUCGAGCGAGCCUCUCGCAGAUCUGGGCAAGCGCUGGAUCGAGCGAGCUGUCGCGCUCGAGCCCCGAGCAGCCGUCGCCCAGAUCUGUGAGGGGUGGCUCUCGCUGAAGCCCUCGUCGAACGGAGAAGGAGGAGCAGCAGAAACUAACCUCGAUUCAGAAGCUUCAGCCGGUAGGAGCAGCAGCUGUCGGCGCCGGAGAGUCAGCCGAGUGGGGAGGCGCCGGAGAGUCAGCCGAGUGGGAGGCGCCGGAGAGUCAGCUGGUGGUGAACUUGUGAGAGACGCCGGAAAAGGGAGAGCGUUGUUUCGGGUAGGGCAUGAACGAAAGAGAAAGGGCACGAACGAAGGAGAAAGGGCACGAAAACGAAGCCCGAAGUGUUCCGGUUUUGUUCUUUUUAGGGCUUCAAGAAGUGUUUCUGGACUCCAGAAGUAAGUUUUUUUUUUUUAUUUAUCUUUUUUAUGUUUCAAUUUUGCUCUAGGAACCAAGGGUGCGAAUGGUAACGGAAACGUUAAAUAAACACGUUUCUGUUCUUUUUUGUUCCCAGGAACAAAAAAACCAAAAAACUGUUCAUAAACACAUUUCAGAAACAAAAACAUACAGGGCCUAAGCUUUUUAUGGACACAUAUUGUUCAAUAGAUAGGCUUUCAAUUUGUUGCGUUGGCACAACUUGUGUGGUCAAUAUUUUCUCCAUGUCUUAGUAGAAUGUAAAAAUAAGUAAAUGCUCAGCCCACGAACGCAUCUAUGUCCAUACACAUGUUUUCAGAAUUUUAUUAAUAUCAGCUAUACGAGAUUGUGCUAUAAAUAUAAUAACGCAAAGAGGCCUAAAAUCGGAAAAGCUCACCUAGAGAAACCCCGCAUUAUCUUCAAUCAAAUCCCUAGAAUGGGAAUGGAAGCUUUCUUGGCAUCGUCUGGUUGAUUGGAGCGAGGUGGAAUGGAAAUAAAAAUGGGGAAUAAAAAUUGCUUUAUUACUGCAUUUUUCGUUAACACGCGGGAAAGUGGAAAUGAGCGAUAAGGCAUGGGAAUGAGUUGACAGUCAAAGGUAAAUUGACAUGUGCACUAAGCUUCGUAUUUGGUAACUGUUGUUUGGACAUAAUAUGGCAAACAUACUUACCUAAUUUACUAUUAUAUAGCAAUUUAAAACGAUAAAAUUCCACCCAUUACUACAUACGUUCCAAUUCCGAUGUAUUAUCAAAUGCAGUGAUCUUCAAAUCAAUCGCUAUUCUGAUUCACUACAAGCAAUUCCAUUUCCCUCUAGUUAUCUCAUGCUUAUGUAACAAAUCAGCCAAAGAAACAAUUUAGAACUCGUAUGGACCACAUCCUCAUCUAAAAUUAAGAACAGAUCAAAGUGCAUGAACCGCAAAAAUUAGGACCAUGAGCGCACGCAUGUCUAGUCUGUCUAAUUCUAUAUUUAUAUAGUGGUAGAUAUAUCCAAUAUGACCUCACUACAUACAUCCAAUUUCCACUCUGGAAUACGUAAUUAAUUGAUUAGGCUUGUUCUUCAUGACUUAUUUUUCCUCCAAUUGCCUUCAUGUUACCUCUUUUGGAAGCAUUCAGUUGAUCUACAUGCAUUGUUUGGACAUGAAGAACUAUUUUAAUAGUUCAGUUUUCAUAAAAAUAUACCAGCUCGAGAUUAUCAAUGGUGUGUGUAUAUGUAAUCUUGUGUACUAAAACUAGCUAAACUCGAAUGAUAUUCCAAUUUGGAUCUAAAAUACCAUUGCCGGAUAAUUUAAUGGAAUGCCAUCAAAUUGUUUUCCCCUAAUGCUACGUUAAAGUACGUAUUGCAUAACUUAGAUACUUUUACCCAAAAUCAUUCCGAAAAAAAUAUAUCAGGACAAAUUCAGAAGUUUUAUAGGAGAUAAUCAUGGAUUAAUAUAGUUUCGUUCCAUUCUUAUAAGAACCAUUCAAAGGAAUUUAUUUCUUCACGUGGGGAGCAAACUCUGCCUUUUUUUAGUCAAUUGUUGACUUGGUUUUGAUUAAUUAGACAUAACUAAAUUCAUUUUUGCUCAAGGUUUGCUGUUUGACAUAUAAUAUCAAAAAUAUAUUUCAAAACUUCACCGCUACAUAUUUACAAUACCCCGCAACAUUGCACGAGAAGUAGCAAAGCUUUUGCUGUUCACAUACCCGUCUGAGCACCUGGGAAAGCCUACUCUCCCAUCUAAUACUGUACAAUUAAGUUAGGUCAAUAUAUCCAACUUCCAUGAUUUUAGGUAUGUGAAUGUGAAUCCACCAGUUGCCAAAUGAAGGACACGAAAGAAAAAGGAAAUAAGUUAACCACGCGGGCAGGAUUGAGAGAUGUGUAUUUUUGCAGGCUACGUAAUGUCUCCGAAUAUAUAGUCAUGAGAUACGGUCCACAAACAAAUGUACGACCAUUCAGUACUCAUUUUCCCAUUUGUCAACUAGGCAUAUUGCUGCAUUACUCAAUUGCAUUCAUUUAACUAUAUGUAAUUUAUUGUUGGAUGACGUACACAUUGCAUCGUAUAAUGUACAUAGAAAUUUCAAUAUUGUUACCGGUACCCACAUGAUCUCGUGAAACAAUAUUUCGAACAAUCUUCUAAAUCUUCUUGAUAAAUAUGCCAUGCACUUGGUACCAAACUAAAAAGCAUUCCGCAACUCUCCCGCUAUGUAAACAUAGUCGACUUGCUAUAUUACUAUCUUUACGAGCUUUUGGAGAAUCGAAGUCGCAAUGUCAUCCAAUAGCAGGGGAUCGAGAAGCAAGAAAAACAUAUUUAGCAAAGCAUGGAACGUGUUCAAGGGGAAACGGGGUUCUUGAGAAGUCUCGUCUAGCAGGACCUAUUGAGAUGUCACCACGUCACCGGUAAGCUCAUUGGUAAAGCCUAUUAAAUUAAUGUCUCGAGUUUGAAUUUGGAUAAUGAUUUGUAAAUCGAAUUUAUUGAUAAAAAUUUUUCAAAUAAAUUUUAAAUUGGAUGAAAAAAAAUUCGUUGGAUUCUUGAAGAUUUAUGAAGGAGGAAAUAAUAGUAUAAAGGAAAAAGGGGAGCAAAGUUUUCUUUAUCUGAGGAGGAGGCCGAAUAAGGUUUGUUACAUGGGGCCAAAGUCAAGUCUUGACUUUUGGGCACACAUAUAAAUAAAAGGCAAGUCUCCGGGAAGAAAAGCUGUCCAAACCUCUCUGCACGUGGAGCCGAAAAAAGAGCUGGUGAGCCCAAGUCAGAUAUUUGAAAAAAGAAUUGGUGAGCUCAGGUCAAAUAUUUGAAAAAAAGAGUGGUGAGCCCAGGUCAAAUAUUUGACCUUUGGGCUCACGAAUUUCCCUUUUUGGUGUGCGUGAAACGGCUUAAGAAAAACCCCCCACGAAAUAAAAGGAGCCGCCGCAGUCGUACAAGUGAAAAAGGAGCCGCACGUAGGAGAAUAUAGAAGCCACGGGAAGCUGUACAUAGAGCGUUUUGUUUUGAGCUUUGAUAAUUUUAUACCGUGAGUUAUAAAAACUUUGAAUUUAAAGUUAAAUCUAGAUAUAGAAAAUAUUUGAGCAUGUAAGUGAUUGUAAACUCUGAUUCUCUAAUUAUAGUGGAUUAUUUGCUGCUGAAUCUUCCCGUAGACGUAGGUACCGAUACUCGGACUGAAUUACGUAAAUUUCGGAUAUCCUUAUUAUUUCUCGUUUAUUUCUUUGGUGAUUUCGCGUUGAUGUAAAUUGCAAAAUCAUGUUGUUUCCGCGUAUUAUAUUUCAACAGAGCCUCAACGGAACUAUCGGGAUGUUGCCACGUCUCCGGUGAGCUGGAGAUCCUCAAGCAAGUCCCAGUCCCGAGUGAGUUCUCGGAGCUCACUGAUGGAGUCUCAGCGGAGAUCCUCGAGUGUCAGCCAAAGCGACGACCAUUAUUACAAUUCUAGUGAAGACAAUCCAUGGCGAGCAAGCUACAGGCAUGGCGCUCUCGCCUAUCGUGGUGAUUACGAUCAAGUGCGAGUGAGAUCGUACCCGUGACCACUCCGGCAGGAAUAUGAUUAUUUUUAUCACACUAGUAUGGGGCAGUAUUAUUCUUGGGGUCUUGACAAUGUCAAUAGUUACGUCCAUGACGACGCGUCUGUUCCACCAUAUCUGCCCCCGCAUACUUCUUAUGGUUAUCACCGUCCAUCCGAGUCUCCCCCGAAUAAUUGUGCGGUGAUGUGAGAUGCCUAAUAUAGUGUGGCUAUAGUUGGUAUUUACUAAUAUCUGGUGAAGUACGGGAUGAGCUAGGGGCAUGGUUGAGCCAUUGGUUUGUUAGCUUUCGCUUGUGAAUCUCAGUGAAGUUUCUUGUUUUAGUUAGUGGUUUCGAACGUGAUGGAGUUUGAUUGAAAUCGCUUUGCCAGUUAACGAAGGUUAUAUACUUAUUUUAUGAAGUUUCAUCUAGUUCGUAGAUGCUAAACAUUUCUAUUAAAAUUUUACUAAAAUUAAGGGCACUUAAUUCCAUCAAUUGUCUAGGGUUCUACUUCUAUGAACAGAUGUUCCCUAACCAAUCAUUUAUCACAAAAACUAAACCAAAUGAAAAACGAUUUAUAAAAAUAGUAAAAAAAAAAAGAAAAAGAAAAAUUGGCCACGCCAUUCCUUGGAAAUUCUUCAUUCUUCAAGGAAGACCUUUAAGGAUCCAAGCUUUCUUGUGAUCCUUCGUGUUCAAACUUCAAGUAGCUUUGAAUGUGCAGAUAUACAUUGAAAUUCGUCUUUCCAGAUGCUUAUGGCAUCUCCAUUGAGAUGCAUAUACAUGGAGGAAAAACUUUUCAAGCUCAUCCAUUUAAAAAUUGGGCUUCUUGCUUGAUGAAAUUCAGUGGACAAAGACGAAAGAAAACGUUUUCAGUUAAAAAGAUCAAAACCGAAAAUAUUCUCCACUCAGUCCGUCGGAAGCAAUUGAAUUGUUGAUGUAUCGACAUAAUAAUAAAACAGGAAAGAGAUUUAUUUAUUUCAAUAUCUUCUUUAGUGAAAAAUAUAGUAAUCUAUUUAUAAAUUUUAUGAAGUGACUAUCUGAAAUAACAAAAUAUUACACAUAUCAAUGACGAUCAAUGAAAAACCAUUCAAUGAUAUGCAUAAUCAAAUGAACAUAGUGCACAAUUAUGAUAGAUAUACAAAAUCAAUGGAGAUUUAAAGAAUCUACUUUAUAUAGAGACAUAGAAGAAGUCAAUUGCAGGUUGGUGCCUUAGUGAAUAUAUUAGCAGUCUUAUCAACUGAAGAAGUGGAGACAAGAUGCGCAAUGUCACGAAGCACGUGAUACACGUGAAACGAUAGUCUCUUUCAAUAUGUUUGGUGCUUUUAAAAAAAAAAACAUUAUUAUAUGCUUUUUGGAUCCAAUUGUCCUAAUAAAUAAGUAUUCUGCCGUUAAGAUGACACUUAUAUGUCCUCUAAUAACCAUUACAAAUACAGUAAUUUUGAUGUUGUAUUAGCAAAAGCAUGAUAUUCAGCUUUCAUGCUAGAUGGAGCGACAAUGGUCUAUUUAUCGUUAUGCUAUAAGAUAAGUGAGUUACUUAGAAAGAAGCAGUAGCGUGUAGUGAAGUAAUAAUCAAGAGGGUCUCCUGCCCAAUGAGCGUUAGAUUUAGUUAAAAAGAUUGAACUGAAAAAUGAUCUCCACUCAAUCUGUUGAAAACAAGUGAAUCACUUAGUUCAAUGGAAGAAUCGCCACAUGAAUAAUGGGUAAGGGAUUUUGUCUCAGGGAAUAAACUAUGAAUCCAUUAAAGCUCCAUUCGUUUCACGAAGCACAAUUUCCAGAAAAGUACUUUUUGGAUUUUCUGACAUUCAUUUCCUAAAAAAUGAACUAAUUGUGAAAAGCAUUUUCCAUCGACAAAAAGAGUUUUCUAAAAUAGAGAAAAUGGUUUCCACUUUUCAAGAUGAAGAAAACAUUUUUUCUUACUUAGUUUCUCUUAUCUCAUACCUAUGUCAACCUUUUCAUCUUUUUUCCUUGAAAAAAAUCGAAUUUUCAAUUAUUUUUCCUUUUCUUGUUUUUCACUUUCAAGCUCGAAACUCAUUGGAAUUUGGCGAGUCUUAAGCUCGCCUUUGGCCAGUCGCUGGCCAUCACCAUGGUUGAUCAAAGAAGAAGAAUAUAAAAAGAAAGAAAAGAAAAAGAAAAAUUAAAAUAAUUUAAAAAUCGAUUUCAAGAAAAAAAAUUUAAAAAAAAUUAUUGAAAAAGAGUGCAUGGAGGAAAACAUUUUUCUUAUCGAACAACAGAAAAUAUUUUAUAAUUUAUUUUCAAAUUUCAGUUGCACACUACAAAAUAUAGCUACCUUCUUGAAAAAUGGUUUCCUAGAAAAUAACUUUUGGAAACAUCACAUUUUAUGUGAAAAGAAUAGAAUCUUAAUUGAAAAAUGAUUCGUUUGACAUAGCCUGGAGAUAGGCUUCUUUGUCCAUUGGCAACUAGGAAUACAACCCCAAAGUGCCAUUAUUAUUAUUUUGCCCCAAUUUCAAAUGCAAAUAGGCCUUCUAUUUAUUUUAGGGAAAAUUGCAAAAAAGGGCUCGAAGUGUUCUCAUCUUCUCAAGUAAGAGCUCGAAGUGGACCUUAUUUCAAAUAAGCGCCUGAAGUGCUAUCACUUUAUCAAAUAAGGGAUUGAAUUGAAUUUUCUUUUGAAUAAGGGCUUGAAAUGGUUAUGCCCGUUUCAAAUAAGAGUCUAAAGUAAUUAUAUUUAUUUUAAAUAAGGGCUUUCUCUUCUUUUUUUCCCUUCCUUUUUUAUGGUUCUUCUUCUUCCUCUUCAUCGGUGGUCAAAAGGUUGGGCGAGGAUCGUCUUCACCCAAUUCGGCGAGUGCCACCCGUAUCAACCAAAAGUGAGGAACGGGUUCACCUAGGUGAGGCCACCCUUGCGGCCAUUUGCAAGGGCUCGACAACCUCGUCGGCCACGGGUGAGGGUGGCCUCGCUCACAAUCAGCAAGGGCUUGCAGGCCAUUGUUAGCCAUUCCUAGUAGCUAGCAAGAUCGUUGACCCCUUGCAAAGAAAAAAUAAGAUAAAAGAAAAGAAAAUUUGGAUGAAAACUUCUUGGCUGGUUGGAUAAUUUAGUUGGCCGACAACCGCCGAAGUCGGACCAUUAUUUAAAACAACAAUGGCUAUAUCAAUGCCUUUAUUUAAAACAAUUGAUGCCAUUUCAAAUUCUUAUUUGAAAUAAGGUCUAUUUCGGGUUUUUAUUUGAAAAAAUGAGGCACUACAAGACUUUUUUUUGAAAUUUUCCCUUUAUUUUAUUUUAGGUUGCAAUUCAUGCCCGUGGACUGAACUAAAAUAUACUCUUUCUCUCUCUCUCUUUUUUUUUUUUUUCAACUUAAAAAAGCCGCUUGAUCAAAUAUUAUUUAUCUUUAGCAAAUGCACCUUGAAUCAAGGGGGAAAUGACUUCGCAUUUCUUCAGAAGUCUUCCAAACGCAAGUGCUCAUGUCAACAUUUGCAUCAAGAUUUCUAACCUUUCGUUUCGAAAAAGUAUAGUUGCUGCGAUUUUUCUUUUCGUAUUUUAUAAAAUAAAAAUAAAAAGUCAAAAACACACGGCGCAUCACGUUGACCAUCAACAGUCAAUGCAUGCCGAUCAGCAGGCGCUGUCCAUGUCUCGAUCUCAUCGUCACAAGCGAAGAAUGUGAACCAAGCGAUCAACCAUCGAUCUUCGAAGGAGAAGACUUCACAGAUUGCGCUUCUUCCGUCGGCGAUCGUCCUCACUUCCUCUCCAAUCGCCUCCCAGCUUCCUCCUGCAUCCUGAAAAUCCGUAUGGCGGCGGCGCUCGUCGGCGGAGCAUUUCUCUCGGCUUUCCUCCAGGUGCUCUUCGAUCGGAUGGCCUCCCGCGAGGUCGUCGACUUCUUCCGGUCGCGCAAGCUCGACCAGGGGAGGCUGCUCCAGAAGCUGGAGGCUGCGCUCCUGUCCGCGAACGCCGUGCUGGACGACGCGGAGGAGAAGCAGAUGACCAACGACUCCGUCAGGAAGUGGCUCGACGAGCUCAAGGACGCCGUGUACGACGCCGACGACCUGUUCGACGAGAUCGCCACUGAAGAUCUGAAGUGCGAAGCCGGGGUCGAGCCUCGGGCUCUCGUUUCUAAGGUCUGGAGCUUUGCUGCAGACGCUCGUAGGAGUAAAUUGGGGGAUAAGUUAGAGAGGGUUCGGGAGAGAUUGGGGGAUAAGUUAGAGAGUAAAUUGGGGGAUAAGUUAGAGAGGGUUCUGGAGAGAUUAGAGAGCGUGGUGAAGCAGAGAGAAGUGCUGGGCCUAAGGGAAGGCAUUCGCAGGAGGACGGCUAGAGCUUUGCCGACCACUUCGUUGGUCGAGGAAUUGGGAGUUUUCGGGAGGGAGAAGGACAGGGAGGCGGUGAUCGACUUGCUCUUGUCAGAUCGGGGCGAAAAUAACACCAGCGUGAUGGCCAUCGUUGGGAUGGCCGGUGUCGGUAAGACAACGCUAUCUCAGCUCGUGUUCAACGAUGUUGCGGUGAAGGGGAGUUUCGAGUUGAGGGCGUGGGUUUCCGUGUCCGACCAAUUCGACAUCUGCAAGCUGACGGCGACGGCUCUCGAGGAGUUCUCCUCCCCGUCUAAGAAGGAGACCGAAAAUCUCAACCAGCUUCAGCUCCAACUGAAGGACUUCUUGACUGGGAAGAAAUUCCUAUUGGUGUUGGAUGAUGUUUGGAAUGAGGACUCAAAUCUUUGGGAUGCGUUCCUAGUUCCAUUUAUCUAUGGAGCAAGAGGCAGCAAAAUCGUCGUGACGACACGAAAUGAAAAUGUCGCAUCGGUUGCUCGUGCCUUCUCGAAAUACUAUUUACAGAAGUUACAAGACAAGGAAUGUUGGGACUUGUUCGCAAAACAUGCAUUUGACGAGCAUAACUUCGAGGCGCGCACGAGACUUGAAGAAAUCGGGCGAAGAAUUGUAAAGAGAUGUGAUGGAUUGCCUCUUGCGCUGAAGACUAUAGGUAGCUUGUUACGCGGUGAGUCUGAUAUCAGGAAGUGGGAAAAUAUUGCAGAGAGUUAUAUUUGGAAUUUGGCACCUGGAAAGAAUGGAAUUCUCCCUGCGUUGUUGUUAAGUUAUCAUUACCUUCCUCCACAACUGAAACGAUGUUUCGCUUAUUGUUCACUCUUCCCAAAGGAUUGUAUAUAUGAGAAGGACCAGCUGAUCUUACUUUGGAUGGCUGAGGGUUUGAUAGAACAACCUAACGACAGCAGGACAUUAGAGGAGGUAGGUGAUCAAUGCUUCUGUGAUCUUGUGUCUAGAUCUUUGCUUCAUAGAGUAAGUGAUGUCGAAUCAAGCUUCUCGAUGCAUGACCUGGGAGUAAGCGAUGUGAAAUCGAGCUUUUCGAUGCAUGACCUGGUCAAUGACUUAGCAAGAUAUGUAGCUGGUCGUUCUUUUUUCAGCUUGGACGGAGGCAAUGCACACCAAGUGUCCUCAAGCACUCGCCAUUUGUCAUUUGUAAGAACUCAAUGUGAUGUCGCUUCCAGAUUCAAAGUGCUAGCCGGGGCAACGAAUUUGCGUACUUUCCUGCCGCUGAACGUGGAUCAUGUGAGAUUUCGCGAGUGCAAUUUGUUGACUGAUGAGGUACUGCAUGUUCGGUUGCCGCCCCUGAGACAGUUAAGGGUGCUAUCUUUGUCUCAUUAUUGGAAAAUCUCUACGUUGCCCAGUUCAAUUGGACGUUUGAAGCAUCUGCGCUAUUUGAAUCUCUCCCAUAAUGAUAGUCUAAUCAGAUUGCCUGAUACAAUUACAGCUCUAUACAACUUGCAAACCUUAAUUCUUGCUUACUGUUGUUCUCUCGUUGAGUUACCGAGCAACAUGGGCAGCCUAACCUGUCUGCGUCAUCUUGAUAUAAGGAAGACAUCCCUGAAGAGAAUGCCACAGGGGAUGAACAGACUGAAGAAUUUGCAGAUAUUAACUAAUUUCGUGGUGGCCAAAAACGAUGGGACUAGGGUUAGGGAGCUAGGGGAGCUAGGGGAUCUUAUGGGUACACUCUCCAUACAGGGUUUGCAGAAUGUUGAUAGUUACCGAGAUGCUGAGACAGUCAAUUUGCGGGAAAAGAGGUACUUGAAAAAGUUAGUACUGCAAUGGGGUUCUGAUAACAAUAUUAUGCAGCAAAAUUGCUUAAAUGUAUUGGACGAGCUGCAACCUCACUGGAACUUGAGAGAGCUUAUCAUUACAUCCUAUAGUGGUAGGUCAUUUUCCAAUUGGCUGGGACACAGUUCAUUCUCUAAUAUGUCUGUCGUGCGUCUUGAGACAUGCAAGCACUGUGUGUCAUUGCCUCCUUUAGGACAGCUACCAUCUCUGGAGAGGUUGAUAAUCGAAGGAUUUGAUGGAGUUACAAGUGUGGGUACUGAAUUCAAUGGUAGUAACUGUAUACCUUUUCAGUCACUAAAGUACUUGGAAUUUGCUGACAUGCACAGUUGGAAAGAGUGGGCUUCUUUUGCAAUAGAGACAAGAGGUCUUACCUUUGCACAUCUGCAGCAGCUUUGUAUUAGAAAUUGCCCGCGGUUGAGUGGAGGUUUACCCGGCCAUCUCCCUUCUCUAACAACCUUGUCCAUUGGAAAGUGCCCACAGCUAGCGUCUUCUCUACCAAUUGCACCACUUCUCCGUGAGAUCAAGUUGGAUGAUUGUGGAAAGGUUUCGGGAGUUGAGCCUCUCGUAAAUGGCACUGAGUUACGAGAUAUUGAAAUCAAGAAUCUUUCAACUCUUCCCUCGAGGUUUCUUCCUCCUACCAUGACAAGACUCCAUCUUGAAGACUGUCAUGAAAUAGAGUUGCCAAUACAUAGAUGCCAUGAAUCUCUCCAACAUCUAAACUUAUGGCGGAGCUGCGAUUCACUUGUAUCCUUUCCUCUGGAAAUUUUCCCCUCGCUUAAGAAAAUUCAGUUGCGGGAGAUUCAAAAUUUGGAACGUCUUUCAAAUUCAUACGGUUCUCCACUUCUUUCGAUGUACAUUAGUUGUUGUCCUGAAUUUAGAUCUUUCCCUGCGAAAGAAUUUUCUGCCCCAUGCCUCACUUCAUUAGAGUUGGAUCACUGCUGUCAUCUAAACUAUCUGCCAGAAAACAUGCAGGCUCUCCUUCCUUCGCUUCGGUCACUGAAAAUAUCCUCAUGUCCACAACUCGAGUCAUUUCCCGAGCGGGGUUUACCCUCCAAGUUGGUGGCGCUUUCACUCUUUGAUUGUAACAAGCUCAUCACUAGCCGCCAGGAUUGGGGUCUUAAGUCACUAUGCUCUCUUGAAACUUUUGCCAUUGGGCAAGACAAAAAUAUAGACUCAUUUCCUGAGAUAGGGCUUCUGCCAACCUCUCUUACCUUUUUGAAUAUAUUUGGCUUUGAGAAUCUGACGUCCCUGAACUCCAAAGGGCUUCAUAGCCUGAGCUCUCUUGAAAAACUUUUUAUUAACCAGUGUCCUAAGCUCCAUUCGUUCCCAAAAGAGGGACAAAUUCUGCCGCCUUCUCUUACCAGUCUGGUGAUUUUUAAUGUGGGUCUAAAAUCACUGGAUAACUUAGGGCUCCACCACCUCACUUGUCUCAAAAACUUCCGCAUAGUUGGCUGCGGAAGUCUUCGAUCCAUGCCAGCGAAGGGCUUGUCAUCCUCCCUUUCCUAUCUAUUUGUCCAUGGGUGCCCUUUGCUGGCGAAAAGAUGCCAGCGGAAGAAAGGAAAAGAUUGGCUCCUAGUUUCGCACAUUCGCUGCAUCGUGAUUGAAGGUGUGCUCGUCACAUGAUCUUAUAUCUUGUUUUACAAUCCCUCCUUUUACCAAGAUCUCACUCAGGUGUCUCCCUUGGCCCUACACUAAGUAAGCUAUUUAUUUAUUCACGACAUACUUCAGUCGCUCUGUGAUCAAGCACUAACAUCUGCCUGUAUUUGCCACAUGCUACUCUAAUAAUGCUCCACAAUGGAGAUUAUAUGUAGUUUUACCGGCUUUCCAUUGUUGUUCCUACAAUUGGGCUGCAUAAUUUAUUUAUUGGUUGACGAAUUAUUUAGCUAGAGCGCCUACUUUUCCCCUUCUCCAUUCUCUCUAUAUAAAUCGCACUGCCAUACUUCAGCUAAGCAUCUGUCACAAUCUUUAUACCCUCAUCUGGAAAUGAUUAUUUUAUUGCUACUUUAUGUUGCCAUCAGUUAACAGUAGUUAAUAGAGCAAAGAGAUUCAUGGCCAUCUAAAGAAGGCCUAGCCUUGAUUGGGCCAUCCGGAUGAAAUUAUUUUUUCUCACGUCCUCAAGUUAAAAAGAGAAUAAAUUUGCUCUUAUCAACGCAUGCUUUCUGUUGCAUAAAGCUGGAUAAUAUUUCGAGGGAGACGUAAAUUCUUAAGACUUGGCAUGACUCAUGAAUGACCUGUGCUACGCUUGCUAGAACAGUGUGGUAUCAUGGGUGGAGUGUGUUUCUGUUUGCUUUAUAUUUUUAUUUGUCAAUUUCAGCUUAACAUCACUCUAAAGUUGUACAAUUUAACAAAUAUUCCCUACCGACAUGUAGAAUUCUAAUCCAUGGAAUGUGAAAAUGAACAGUUCAAGAGAUGCGAGUGACUCGGUUUUUUGUAGUGACAUCUCCACUUUUGUCACUAAUUAUAUCAUGAUAUCCAACUAAAUCCGUCAAACAGAAGUCUAAAAAAAGUGUGAAAAAGUUAGGUUUUUAUUUGUUGAAGUUGAAAGUUUGCAUCUCAAAAUGCAAUUUGAUCAAAUUAUAUGAACCUAUUGUAAUUUACCCUAUUUUGAGAGAAUAUAGUUUCUUUUGAGGGAAUUUAAGUGGUUUUAUGUGCACUAACUGUUGAGGAGCUUCUGUGGUUGGAGAUAGAGCUGGAAAUGUAUUGCUGGCUUUUAGCUCGAUUAGAGUAUCCUUUAGUUGUUAAUACUUGUCUUUCAAUCAUUGCAGGUGGAGUGCUUCUAGAUGGGGCUAGACUAACUAAUGUUCCAAAAAUACAUUAUGCAUCCACGAUUAGCAAUACAGGCACUUGCUUUAUUGAGAUGCAUGAAUGAAUUGUGUUAGAAAAAGUCGAACAAUGUGGGAUUAGUAUUGGCAUGGAAUAGUUAAUAUAUCUUAGUUGGCCAUUGCUUUAAGCUUUUGAGUAAAAGUGGCCUAACUGGAUUAAUUGAAAGGUUUGGACUUGGUCUCUCUCUUGGUUUCCGCUACGCGCUCCCAAGCCAAUCAUUGAUUGGUGGCAACCUGUUGGCGCAAAAGAAUACUUGGAUUAAGGAGGAAGUAUACUAAACAUCGAGCUUACAUGUAAGAGGGAGAUAAGAACUGAUGUGGUGUGGACUUAAUAUAUCUUAGUUGGUCCAUGAUUCAUUGACUUAAGCUUUUGAGUAUAUGUUAGGUCCGACUAUAUUUAUUGACGAGGUCGAACUUAGGUUCUCUCUUGGUGAUCUCCCAUGUGAUGGCAUUGGGUUUUUGCUAGGCACUACCAACAUGCAGUGGUGGAUGUCGAAUUCUGCUUUGGAUGGACCUAUUCUUCUCCCACGAUAUCAAGAUAGUUUCAGUAAGAGGGUUGUGAGACAGUAAUGCUCAGUCUUCGCAAGAUGAGUGGAUUCUGAGGAUAUGGAGCAGCAUAGGCAAUGGGAUGGUGGAAAUUGGCAAGGAAAACAAAUCCAUUUUUCAUGCAGUCAGCAAGCCAAGUGAUCACUGGAAAUGACAGAAUCAAGGUCAACUAGGAGUAUCGAAAUUUCAUUGUCACUUUGCAACUUGUGAGAAAUUGUUUACCGAUGAGUGCGAGUGCAGGAGAGGCACUCCAAUGCGAUUGCAACGUUUAAUUAAACGCAACAACAUGCCAUGGGGAAGUACUUGCCUAAUGGUUUGGUUCGAUUGUUGUUUAUGCAAGCUGACACUUGUCGUAGUGGAGAAACAAGAAACCAUUCAAGGUAAAGCGGAUCCAAAGCAUGACCUGUAGUUGUACAUCCCAGGUGUCGAUGUUGUAGCAUUGGAAGCAAGGAUCAUAUCGGAAACUGAUGAUGGGCAUGAGAUGAGUGGGUUAUGGAGAGAUUGUUUGAUAUAGCUUUUCGAUGGUAGUUGUGACAGUAAAACUGGAUGCUUUUGCUUUCGCAAGGUAACAUCUCAUAAUUAUCAUAUGGAACCGGGAAGCUGUCCCGUCUAGCUUUUAGCUGUUGCUAUGUGUUACUUGUGACAUCCUGAUUUCGAGUCUGAUUUCGAUGAGAUGAAAUGGGCUUUUCAUCGACGCGCUUAUAGCCUUAUUCUCUGAGAGGGGCCCUCAUGGGUGAAAUCAUUAAUGGAUUUUAACGCAAUAAACUUGAGAAUUCGACUAAGAGUCGACUACUCGACCGUGUUGAUUUGCAAGGGUCAUUACGACAUUGCCAGAAAUCGAUCAGGGACCAGAGUGUGGGUGAUUCCACCUGAUUGCAAAAUAAUCAUCGAUCGACACUAGACCGAUUUUUCUAUCGUUUUGGUACCCGGUACCCGUAAAUGAAAUCUCGAGAUUUUCACGACAAUUGAGGGUCGCCAAUAUGUCGAAGAUAUACAAUGUGACUCGAGAUAAAUUGAUCACAGGUCAAUUGCACCAAAAAUUCCUAGAAGUUAUCCGGUCAUGCUAAAAGCGUGCCGAAUUGAAAUUAAUCGCGAACUGGAACCUGAUUUCAGAAAUCGAAAGUUCUGUCAUGUUACAAUCUAUUUUAGGAAUUUCGACUCAUCCUUCAAAGAAUUUUCGGAGAUCCUGGUAUUUUUAUGGAAAUUUGUUUCAGACGUUGCGGAAAAUUAGCGGAAAUUCGGAUGAACCAAAUUAAAAAAAAUUGGGACUUCCAAGCCGAGCCUUUGAGCGUCAGAGACUUACAGAAAAUUGUUUGGGUUGUUUCCUUGGCAAAAUUGGACCUCAAUACGGAGAUUUGAGUGAGGAAUUGAAGUUAAUAUUGGUAAAAUUCGGAUUAAGGCAUGGGGAAGCAUCUUUGGCUUCAAAAAUUGGAUAAUUGGUGGUUUAUUUUGUGGAUUAUAAGGCUGGAAAGUAUUAUGAGACAUUAGAAUAUUUGUGAGGAGUUUGAGGGGACCAAGCAAUCAAUGGAAGGGAUAGAAUUGGUGGGCUUCUUUAGCAAGUCAAGGCCGCCGCCCUCCUCCUUCUUGCGUUUCAAUCCGUCGACCCCUUCUGCUUUUGCUCUCGCUCUCAUUAUUUGCUUUCUACCUCAUCCCCAUUUUCAUUUAUUCCUCACGCCUCUUCCCAUCAUCAUCACCAAUCCAUCAUCCAACGUCCACCAAUUUCUCCACUCACUCUCUUCCUCGCAGCCAUAUAAGCCCACGAACGAAGCCUCCACUAAGUCAAACUUUCUUGGCCUAUUUUGGUUGUUGACUCCUCUUGCCGGGCGUCUUUCAAUCCACGAGACUGCAGCUCCACCACUUCCUCUCUCUCUCUCGUUGAACCCUCUGCCAUCUCACGUCCGAAGUUCCAUCCCUCUUCUCCACCGAAAUUCAACAACAGCUGAAGACCACUGAAGCCACGAAACAGCUUCCGUUCAUCCACCGAGAUCCCAUCUCUUAACGUGCUGCUGCCUGCCACUCCAUGCUAGCGCCUUUUGAAGACCGAGCAAAUCAACGCCUCCAUGAUUUCCAUUUGUCCAGCAACCGAAUCUACACGUCCCAGCUUCUUCGGUCAAAACCCCAAGUCGAAGCCCUUCCAUCAUCGACCGAAGCCGUCCCACGAAUCGUCCAGCAGCUUCGGUCUAUUUCAUCUCGUGGAUCAGCCGCAACAAAGUCUGCAGCCCAUCCAACCUGUUCUCAGCCCAGUUGAAGUCUUCAAGUCCAGCAAGUGUCUUCGGCCCAUUGGAUUUUGGCCCAAUCUAGCGAAGCCCAACAAGAUCAGAAGCCCGCAAUUUUGGGGCCCAAGCCCACAAAGUCAGCCCGCUUCAGGCCCGGUCCAAUUCAAAAACAAAUCUCAUAGUGGACUAAGAUUUGUUGGGCCCGUUUUAGACUCGACCCGAGUGUUCGCCAACGCCGCCGAAAAUUCAGAUUUCGGCCGUUGUCGCGUCGUCAUUGCGGUGAACCGGUUUCCGCAAUUAACCGGUGAGUUUAUUUACUAAACUCUUCUUAGUAGACUAAUGACGUCUAAGGGGUGUUUAGAUUUAUUUAAUUAGAAAUUAGGUGGUUAGUUAGAUUAAUUUAGUGAUUUAAUUAUGUACUUAUGCAUGUUAGGUGGUUAAAUUAGAUUAAGUGAGGCCUAGAUAAAUUGUGUUAUUUAUCUAGAAGGGUUCGGGAAUUUUCCGGGUCCGUAUUGGUAUUUAAUUUAGUGAUUUUGGCCUAGGUUGGCAUUUUAGUAUUUAAAUUGAUUUAUUUAAUUAAUUUUAGAAAUUAUUUAAUAAUUAAUUCUUUUUCGGAAAUUAGUCCUGGAUAGCUGGUGACUGGAGUUGCGUACUGAUUGCAAUGGUGUGUUCAAUUUUUGCAGUUGGAUGUUAAUUUGUGCAAAUUGAGUGCUGAUUCAAUUCCAAAAAUUAUGAAUUUCGAUAUUUAUUCAGAAAAUCCCGAGUAUUGGGUUUUAACACCAAAAAUAGUUUUAUACACUAUAUAAACCAGUGGGAUUUUAAAUUGGAGAUAUCAAUUUUUCUAGUGUAAAUUGACCGUGUACCCAUACACAACUAUUUUACCGUGUAUUUAUAAUACGAAGAAAAUAGGCCAGGUUCACUAUUUUAAUUGAGACAUUUGAGUACAAUGCACAGUGUCCUGGGUCGAGAUUGAUUGGUCGUGUGUUGGUUAAGAAAAACUGUCAUAGGCUAUUAAGCCGGACGUUACCCAUUCAUUGGGACUCGGGUCGUAGUAGAUUUUGGACCUACGCUCCUUUGGGAAAGCCGUCUAAUUGAGAGACGUCGUCGUGCUCAUGGUGGGAGACAAAGCCUGGUUAUGCCAGAAGACACCAAACUUAUGAGUAGGUUGUACUCAGGUUGCAGUAGAUUUUGGACCUACGCCCCUUCAGGGAAGUCGUCUAAUGGAGAGACGUCAUCGUGCUCAAAGGAGGUGAGACGACGCCUGGCAAUGCCAAAAGACCGCCAAUUUUGGAGUUAGCCGUACCUUUAACUGGUAUAAUUAACAAUUGGAACACAUGAUGGUUGAGUUUGAUGCACUUGAUUAUGAGAUCAAAACUGUGUGGCGUGGAACAGGUUCCUAGUGAUUAAUUGAAUUGAUGAGAUGUUCCAGUUGUUAUGUGCAUUAGUUAUAUGCAUUGCGAUAUGAAUUAUACUGACCUGCAUGAAGGAACUGAGGCGAGGUAAGUUCCUUGUUCUAAUUGUAUGGUUGUGUGGCUAGAGCGCCCUGAAGCGUAUUUCCCUCCUAAUCAGGGUUUAAUGGGUGUACUUGCUAAAACAUUGUUUCACUGGUUAUUGAAUAACCAUUUUCAGGUCCUUAGAAGGCGGUCGUGGAAGACCAAGGUCUCAAAGUCUAAGGAGGAGAAAUAUGGAGGACCAGUGGAUAUGUCCUAUCAGUAUGUCGUAGAACAGCCUCUUGUGAGAGUCGAUCAUUUUCUAGGCUUUCGACUAAACUCGUUUUGUGCCUGAAUCUCGUUGUUUAUAGAAGUGUGCUUUUAUGAAUUGAUAUCAUUCUUUUCUAUCCUGAGAUAAUUAUUGUUAGGGGAUUUAUUUUCACUUCCGCAUGUGCUUAAAAAUCAAUGGGUCGGCGACUCGUCUGGGGAAGUCACAAAAUUUUAUCGACCAGAGAGGGAUGGGCACGCGCUUAGGGUUCGAGGCGUGACAUUACCAAAUGAUCGCAACUACGAUUAUACCAAACGGGCCCCGAGUUGAGCUUCAUAGUCUAUACAAGAUCGGGAGGGUUUGAAGAAUUGGUUGGUUGAUUCUUCCCUCUCUUUGGUUGAGUGGUUCAUCUCUUCUUCAAAAGCACCUCUAAUUCUCUAGGACAGACUUAAGCAAGGAGAGGGUAUAUCUCCUCCAUUCAAGCGUGUACCCCCAUUCAAGUGUGUACUCGUUUUGCUAUAGGAGGGUAUAACAUAUAAUGAAUAAGUGAAUUUGGGGUCUUGUACGAGUCGACUUAUUUGUCAUGUUUGAGUUUGAAAUCAUCAUAUGUACAUCAAAAGUAGUGGUGUAUGUAUAUAUAAGGAUGAACAACCUGAUUUGAAUGAAUCACAUAGUUAAGAAAGAUGAAUCAAAUAACCUUCAUUUCCAAUUUCAAAAUCUGUAAAGGCGUCAUUUCUCGAUAUGGAGAACCAGUACAGAAACCUUGUGGCUAUGCAAGAUAGACAAUUAUUUUGAAACGAUGUAGUGUAUUCUACUAGUCAACGCCGGCAUAACUAGCAGUGGAUGCCGAUCCUGAUGUAACUAUUUUGAAAUGAUGUAGUGUAAUAUAUCAACUCCAGCACAACUAGUAGGUGGAUGCUGAUCCUGAUUUAACUCCCACAAAUUCGCAAGUGAGAAGGGGAGAUGAAGCAUCUAAGAAAGAGAAAAACUCUUUCGCUCGCUAAAUAACUUGGACAUAUAGACCAACAAGAAUUGUGAUCUUCCUAGCACUAGCGUUCACCCAACCAAAACACCCACAGCAACUCGAAAGUGAUCGGGAAAAAGAUAGACUGCAAGACAAGAUGCACGACGCAAGUCAUAUCUCGCAACAUAAUAUCAUCAGGGUAGUUAACAAAUAGCAUCUCCUAGUCUCAAUUCGUCCAACUGAGGAACAACAUAGCACGACCCCUGUUUUAAACUGAAAUUUAUCAAUUUCUAGCAUCGCAUUCCCGAGCAUCAACUAGGCUAGACAUGUGCAUAAGAGUGAAGUCGUGCAUGAUUGUGCAGCAAACAGAGCACAAGAAGAAAACCACCUAACUGAUCCAACCAAACCUCAAAAACAGAAAUGGUUAUGGGUACGUACAGUCGUGAGGCAAACUCCUAUUGGACAGUUCCAAAAUGACCACCUAGCUCAAUACAGUUCUCCAUAGUUUACCGUAUCACUUGAUUAAAUAUCGUUUAUCUUGGGCGAAUGCACCUUAUUUUAGAAGGGAAAUGACCCCGCAUUCUUCAAAAGCCUUCCAAACGCAAGUGCUCAUGUCGAUAUUUGCAUCAACGUUUCCAAUGUCUCAGUUUCAAAAAAUUACAGUUUUUCUUUUUUAAUAAAAAAAACAGUCGAAACCACAUGGUCCAUCACGUUGACCCAUCGUUGGUCAACGUAUAUGCCAACCAGCAAGCGCUGUCCAUGUCCACUUCGAAGGAGAAAGACUUCACAGACCGCUGCUUCUUCUUCUUCUUCCGUCGGCGAUCGUCUUCACUUCUUCUCCAAUCGGCUUCCAGCUUCCUCCUGCAUCCUGAAAUUCCCUAUGGCGGCGGCGCUCGUCAGCGGAGCAUUUCUCUCGGCUUUCCUCCAGGUGCUCUUCGACUGGAUGGCCUCCCGCGAGGUCGUCGACUUCUUCCGGUCGCGCAAGCUCAGCAAGGGGAGGCUGCUGCAGAAGCUGGAGGCUGCGCUCCUGUCUGCGAACGCCGUGCUGGACGAUGCGGAGGAGAAGCAGAUGACCAACGACUCCGUCAGGAAGUGGCUCGACGAGCUCAAGGACGCCGUGUACGACGCCGACGACCUGUUCGACGAGAUCGCCGCCAACGAUCUAAAGCGAGAAGCCGGGUACGAGCCUCGGGCCCUCGCUUGUAAGGUCUGCAGCUUCGCUUCGGACGCUUGUACGAGUGGACUAGGGGAUAAUUUAGAGAAGGUUCUGGAGAGAUUGGAGAGCGUGGUGAAGCAGAGAGAAGUGCUGGGCCUAAGGGAAGGUAUUCGCGAGAGGACGCCUAGAGCUUUGCCGACCACUUCAUUGGUCGAGGAAUCGGGCAUCUUCGGGAGGGAGAAGGACAGGAAGGCGGUGAUCGAGUUGCUCUUGUCGGAUCGGGGCGAAAAGAACACCAGCGUGAUGGCCAUAGUUGGGAUGGGCGGUGUUGGCAAGACCACGCUAUCUCAGCUCGUGUUCAACGAUGAUGUGGUGAAAAGGAGUUUCGAGUUGAGGGCGUGGGUUUCAGUGUCCGACCAAUUCGACAUCUGCAAGCUGACGGCGAUGGCUCUCGAGGAGUUCUCCUCGUCUAAGAAGGAGGCCGAAAAUCUCAACCAGCUUCAGCUCCAGCUGAAGAACUUAUUGACAGGGAAAAAGUUUCUAUUGGUCUUGGAUGAUUUUUGGAAUGAGGACUUCAAUAUUUGGAAUGCGUUCCUAGUUCCUUUUACCUAUGGAGCAAGAGGCAGCAAAAUCAUCGUGACGACACGAAAUGAAAGAGUCGCAUCGGUUGCUUGUGCCGUCUCAACAUACCCUUUACAGAAGUUGCAAGACAAGGAAUCGUGGGACUUGUUCACAAAACAUGCGUUUGACCAGCAUAACUUCGAGGUGCGCUCGAGACUUGAAGAAAUCGGGCGAAGAAUUGUAAAGAGAUGUGAUGGAUUGCCUCUUGCGCUGAAGACUAUAGGUAGCUUGUUACGCAGUGAGUUUGGUAUCAGGAAGUGGGAAAUAAUUGCAGAGAGUGACAUUUGGGAUUUUCCACCUGGAAAGAAUGAAAUUCUCCCUGCGUUGUUGUUAAGUUAUCAUUACUUUCCUCCACAACUGAAACGAUGUUUUGCCUAUUGUUCAGUCUUCCCAAAGGAUUGUAGAUAUGAGAGGGACCGGCUGAUCUUACUUUGGAUUGCUGAGGGCAUGAUAAAACAACCUAACGACAGCAGGACAUUAGAGGAAGUAGGUGAUCAGUGCUUCUGUGAUCUAGUGUCUAGAUCUUUGCUUCAUAGAGUAAGCGACGUCGAAUCAAGUUUCUGGAUGCAUGACCUGGUCAAUGACUUAGCAAGAUAUGUAGCUGGUCGAUCUUUUUUUAGCUUGGAUGGAGGCAAAGCACACCAGGUGUCCUCAAGCACUCGCCAUUUGUCAUUUGUAAGAACUGAGUAUGAUGUCGCUUCUAGAUUCAGAGUGUUAGCUGGGGCAAUGAAUUUGUGUACUUUCCUGCCGCUAAACAUGGGUCAUGUGAGAUUUUACGAGUACAAUUUGUUGACUGAUGAGGUACUGCAUGUUCUGUUGCCGACCCUGAGAUGGUUAAGGGUGCUAUCUUUGUCUCAUUAUCAGAAAAUCUCUACAUUGCCUAGUUCAAUUGGAUGUUUGAAGCAUCUGCGCUAUUUGAAUCUCUCCAAUAAUGCUAGUCUAAUCAGAUUGCCUGAUUCAAUUACAUCUCUAUACAACUUGCAAACCUUAAUUCUUGCUUACUGUUGGUGUCUCGUUAAGUUAUCGAGAAACAUGGGCAGCCUAACCUGUCUAUGUCAUCUUGAUAUAAGGUGGACAUCCCUAGAGAGAAUGCCGUGGGGGAUGAACAGACUGAAGAAUUUGCAUAUAUUAACUAAUUUGGUGGUGGCCAAAAACGGUGGGACCAGGUUUAGGGAGCUAGGGGGGCUAGAGAAUCUUAUGGGUACACUCUCCAUACAGGGUUUGCAUAAUGUUGAUAGUUACCGAGAUGCCGAGAUAGUCAAUUUGCAGGGAAAGAGCUACUUGAAAAAGUUAGUACUGGAAUGGGGUUAUGAUGACAAUAUUACGAAGCAAACUAGCUUAAAUGUAUUGAACAAGCUGCAACCUCAUUGGAACUUGAGAGAGCUUAUCAUUAUAUCCUAUGGUGGUAGGUCAUUUUCCACUUGGCUGGGACACGGUUCAUUCUCUAAUAUGUCAGUCGUGCGUCUUGAAUCUUGCAAGCACUGUGUGUCAUUGCCUCCUUUAGGACAGCUACCAUCUCUGGAGAAGUUGAUAAUCGAAGGAUUCGAUGGAGUUACAAGUGUGGGUACUGAAUUCAAUGGUAGUAACUGUAUACCUUUUCAGUCACUUCAGUACUUGGAAUUUGGUGGCAUGUGCAGCUGGAAAGAGUGGGCUUCUUUGGCAAUAGAAACAGGAGGUCUUGCCUUUGCACAUCUGCAGGAGCUUUGUAUUACAAAUUGCCCCCAGUUGAGUGGAGGUUUACCCAGCCAUCUCCCUUCUCUAACAGCCUUGUCCAUUGAAGGGUGCUCACAGCUAACGUCUUCNNNNNNNNNNNNNNNNNNNNNNNNNNNNNNNNNNNNNNNNNNNNNNNNNNNNNNNNNNNNNNNNNNNNNNNNNNNNNNNNNNNNNNNNNNNNNNNNNNNNNNNNNNNNNNNNNNNNNNNNNNNNNNNNNNNNNNNNNNNNNNNNNNNNNNNNNNNNNNNUAAUCUCGAGGGCAGUCAUGAAAUAGAAGUGCCAUACACAGAUGCCAUGAUCUCUCCAAUAUCUAAACUUGAAAAGGAGCUGCGAUUCACUUAUAUCAUUUCCUCUGGAAAUUUUCCCCUCACUUAAGAAUAUUCAGUUAAGGAAGAUUAAAAAAUUGGAACAUCUUAAAAUUCUGACAGUUCUCCACUUCUUCUCCAUUCGAUGGACAUUGCUGAUUGCCCUAAAUUUAGAUCUUUCCCUGCGGGAGGAUUGGCUGCCCCAUGCCUCACUUCAUUAGAUUUGAAUGACUGUCGUCGUCUAAAGUAUCUGCCAGAAAACAUGCAAGCUCUCCUUCCCUCGCUUCGGUCACUAACAAUAUCCUCAUGUCCACAACUCGAGUCAUUUCCCGAGAGGGGUUUACCCUCCAAGUUGGUCACGCUUUCACUCUCUAAUUGUGACAAGCUCAUCAUUGGCUACAAGGAUUGGGGCCUUCAAUCACUAUGUUCUCUUAAAACUUUUGUCAUUGGGCAAGAGAAAAAUAUAGUCAUUUCCUGAGAUAGGGCUUCUCCCAACCUCUCUUACCUCUCUGCAUAUCUCUGGCUUUGAGAAUCUGACAUCCCUAAACUCCAAAGGGCUUCAUAGCCUGAGCUCCCUUGAAUACCUGACCAUUGGCAAAUGUCCGAAGCUCCAUUCCUUCCCAAAAGAGGGACAAAUUUUGCCCGCUUCUCUUACCACUCUGUCAAUUUAUGGAGUGGGUCUAAAAUCACUGGAUAACUUAGGGCUCCACCACCUCACUUGUCUCAAAGAAUUUCGCAUAGAUAGCUGCCGAUGUCUUCGAUCCUUGCCAGCGGAGGGCUUGUCAUCCUUCAUUUCCAAUCUAUUUAUCCAUCGGUGCCCUUUGCUGAUGAAAAGAUGCCAUUGGAAGAAAUGGAAAGAUUGGCCCCUAGUUUCGCACAUUCGCUGCAUCGUGAUUGAACGUGUGCUCGUCACACGAUCAUAUAUCUUGCUUUACAAUCCUCCUUUUACCAAGAUCUCACUCAGGUAUCUCCCCUGGCCCUACACUAAGUAAGUCAUUUAUUUAUUCAGGACAUACUUCAGUCGCUUUGUGGUCAAGCACUAACAUCUGACUGUAUUUGCCGCAUGCUACUCUAAUAACACUUCACAAUGGAGAUUAUUUGUAGUUUCACCGGCUUUCCAUUGUUGUUCUACGAUUGGGCUGCAUAAUUUCUUUAUUGGUUGCCGAGUUAUUUAGCUGGAGCGUCUGCUUUUCCCCUUCUCCAUUCUCUCUAUAUAAAUCACACUACCAUACUUCAGCUAAGUGUCUGUCAUGGUCUUUAUAGUCUCACCUGGGAAUGAUUAUUUCAUUGCUACUUUAUGUCGCCAUCAGAUUAUUUCAGCUUUAAGAUCUCACUAUUGUCCACACCUACAAAUGCCAACUUAUAGAACCGUUUGUGCGUGAGCUGACAAUAGUAAAUAGAGCAAAGAGAUUCAUGGUCAUCUAAAGAAGGCCUAGCCUUGAUUAGGCUAUCUAGAUGAAAUUAUUUUUUCUCGAACUCUGGCACGUCCUCAAGUUAAAAAGAGAGUAAAUUUGUUCUUAUCAACAAAUGCUUUAUGUUGUGUAAAGCUGUAUAAUAUUACGAGGGAGACGUAAAUUCUUAAGACCAGGCAUGACUCAUGAUUGACUUGUAUUACGCUUGCCAGUGUUGGCAAAAUAUGCAUCGAAAUUGGGUAGUACAAUGAAAUCGGAUCGAGUAAAACAACUCGGACUUUGAGGCGUGAUAUCACUUUCUUUAAGAAUUUAUUUGCCCCCACAACGUUGCUAAUGGUCACCGACAAAAAUCCUCCAGGAUACAACAAAAUCUCGGAUGAGAAUACUAAAUAGCAAUUCUAGUAUUUCUCCAGGGUCUCUCUAAGAAAACAAUCGAAAAUUUGGCUACAGUUUUUCAGAAAGAAGACUCGAAAAAUGACCACACUUUUCUUUCCAAAAAAUGACAAGUAUAUAUAUGAAACAGUCUUGCAACUCUUCGUGAAAAUUGCGAACAAACAUUUUUUAAAUAGCAAGGGAUUAAGUGCUAAGUGCUAAGUACGCCAAAAUCGCGCAAUUAUUCGCGCACCCACUGCGGGUAUGGUGGGGUCUAGCCCUACCUAAUCACUCCUUUAACUACAAAAGGGAAAUCCCACUUUUUUAAACUGACCCUCCUACUCCCACUUUUUCUAUGUGGGACAAAGUAAAAAGCACUCAUUUUGUUUUAACAAACAAAAUUCCAACAGCCAGAACAGUGUGGUAUCAUAGGUGGAGCAUAUUUCUAUUUGCUUUGUAUGUUUAUUUGUCAAUUUCAGCUAAACAUCACUCUAAGGUUGUACAGUUUAACAAUUUCCCUCACUGCAUGCAGAAUCUUGAUCCAUGGAAUGUGAAAAUGAAACAGUUUAAGAGAUACGAGUGACCCAGCAUUUUGUAGUGGCAUAUCCACUUUUUUCACUAAUUAUAUCAUGACGUCAACUAAAUUCAUCAAACUGAAGGUCUAAAAAGAGUGAAAAAGUUAGGUUUUUAUUUGUUGAAGUUGAAAAUUUGCAUCUCAAAAUGCAAUUCAAUCAAAAUAUAUGGACUUAUUGUAAUUUACCCUAUUUUGAGAGAAUCUAGUUUCUUUUGAGGGAAUUUAAGCGAUUUUAUGUCCAUUGACUUUUGAGGAGCUUCUGUGGAUGGAGAUAGAGCUGGAAAUGUAUUGCUAACUUUUAGCUCGAUUAGAGUAUCCUUUAGUUGUUAAUACUUGUCUUUCAAUCAUUGCAGGUGGAGUGCUUCUAGAUGGGGUAAGACUAACUAAUGUUCCAAAAAAUAAAUGAUGCAUCCAUGAUUAGCAAUACAUGCACAUGCUGUGUUGAGAUGGACGUGUGAAUUGUGUUAGAAAAAGUCCAACAACGUGGGANNNNNNNNNNNNNNNNNNNNNNNNNNNNNNNNNNNNNNNNNNNNNNNNNNNNNNNNNNNNNNNNNNNNNNNNNNNNNNNNNNNNNNNNNNNNNNNNNNNNUGGCCAACUAGAUAUGUUGAAAGUUUUGGACUUGGGCUCUCUCUUGGCUUCCACUACGCGCUCCCAAGCCAAAUUGGUGGCAACCUGUUGUUGCAAAAGAAUGCUUGGAUUAAGGGAGAAGUAUACAUAACAUUGAGCUUACAUGUAAGAGGGAGAUAAGAAUUGAUGUGGUAUGGAGUAAGAGGGAGAUAAAAAUUGAUGUGGUGUAGAGUACUUAUUAUCUCCUAGUUGACCCAUGAUUCAUUGACCGAAGCUUUUGAGUAUAUGUUAGGUCCAACUAUAUUUGUUGAUAGGGUCGAACUUGGGUUGUUCCUUGGCGAUCUCCCAUGUGAUGGCAUCGAAUUUCUGCUAGACACUACCAACAUGCCACGGUGGAUGUCGGAUGCUACUUUGGAUGGACUUAUUCUUCUCCCACGAUAUCAAAAUAGUUUCAGUAAGAGGGUUGUGGUGAGAAAACAAAAUGUUGCUCAGACUUCACAAGACGAGUGAAUUAUGAGGAUCAGGAGCAACAUAGACAAUGGGAUGGUGGAAAUCGGCUAGGAAAACAAAUCCAUUUUUCAUGCAAUCAGCAAGCCAAGUGAUCGACUCUGGAAAUGUCAUAAUCGAGCUCAAUUAGGAGAAUCAAAAUUUCACUGUCGGUUUGCAGCUUGUGAGAAAUUGUUUACCAAUGAGUGCGAGUGCAGGAGAGGCACUCCAAUGCAAUUGCAACGUUUAGUUGAAUGCAACGACAUGCCAUUUGAGAAGUAUUUGCCUGAUGGUUUGGUUGGAUUGUUGUUUUAGCAAGCUGAUACUUGUCACAAUGGAGAAAUAAGAAACCAUUCAAGGUGAAACGGAGCUAACGCAUGGUCUGUAGAGGUACAUCCCAUGUGUUCGAUGUUGUAGCAUUGGAAGCGGAUCGUAUUUGAAACCGAUGAUGGGCAUGAGAAGAGUGGGUUAUGGAGAUAUUGUUUGAUACAGCUUUUCGAUUGUAGCUGUGACACGUAAAACUGUAUGCUUCCGCUUUCGCAAGGUAACAUCUCAAAGCUAUCAUCUGGAACCAGAAAGCUGUCCCAUCUAGCUUUCAGCUUUGUCGCCGUUUGUUACCAAUUGAUCGCAACUAUGAUUGUACCACAUGGGCCUUGAGUGGAGCUUCAUAGCCUAUACAAGAUUAGGAGGGGCUGGAGGAUUGAUUGAGUGAUACUUCUCUCUUUGGUUGAGUGGUUCUUCUCUUCUUCAAAAGCACCUCUAAUUCUCCGGGACACACUUAAAGCAAAGAGCAGGAAUAACUCGUGCAUGCAAGCAUAUACCCGUUUCGUGCUAUCGGAGGGUGUAACAUAUAGUGAAUAAGUGAAAUUUAAGGUCAUGUACAAGUCUUAUUUAUCAUGUUCAAGUUUGAAAGUCAUCAUAUGUAAAUCAACAGUGGCUGUGUAUGUAUAUAUAAGGACGAGCAUUCUGAUUGGUAUGCAUAACAUAGUCGAGAAAGAUGAAUCAAAUAACCUUCAUUCCAGCUUCAAAAUCUGCAAAGACGUCAUUUCCCGAUAUUUUUCAAACUUUUUGAGCAUUGCCCUAGCCAUAGAACUAAUAGCCUCAUCCUCAGUAUCCCUUGCCUGUAUUAAACGAAGCUGAAUCUGCCAUACUCCAUAAAAAUAUAAAUUUGCCGUGGGAUAUCUAACUCCAGAGAACAGAGUAGAAAUAUCAUAAAAGGGUUUUAACAACAAAGCAAUUUUCUUUCCUCUAACCCAAUCUUCAGAAGAUGGACAUGUGACAAAGUUACAGUCAAUUAACUUCAAAUGCGAAAAUGCACAUUCAAAGAAAAGGGCACCCUCAAGCAUUAGGUAUGUAGAAUUACAUCUGGUGGCCACAUCUUGACGUACCUUUUUACUGGUCUUUAAGCACGACUGCAAUAUACAUUCGGCAAAUUUAACUCUCCUCCCUUGUGUAGCCCUCACAUACUUGACAGCUUCUCUAAUAUUAUGUAAGGAUCCAUCAAUAACCUUUAAACCUUCCUGUACAAUUAGACUUAAAACAUGUGCACCACAACGCACAUGAAAAAAUUGUCCAUCACAUAACAAAGAAGAUCUCACAGAAGGUGUAUUUCUCCAAAUAUCAAUCAUACUGUCAUUGUAUGAUGCAUUAUCUAAAGUGAUGCUGAAGAUCUUUCUCUCAAUGCCCCAUUCUCUCAACAAAGACAGCAAUUUUUCUAAAAGUAUGACACCACUAUAUGGAGGUGGCACAUAGGAGAAACACAAGACUUUUGAUUGCAAUUCCCAAUCAUCAUCAAUAUAAUGAGCAGUGACGGUCAUAUAAUGAUCCGUAGUAAUAGAAGUCCAUAGGUCAGAAGUCAAACAUAUUCGGCUCGAAAGAGACAAUAAUUUGGAUUUCAAAAUUCCCUUCUCUUUCUCAUAAACUUUUAGCACAUCACUUCUUGCUGUAUUCCUUGAUAUGUGCUUCACAUUAGGGUUGAGGUAACUAAACAAUUCUCUUGUUCCCUCAUGCUCUACAAAAGAGUAUGUAUAAUUGUGUUUGAUUAUCGCUCUUGCAAGCAUAUCUCUAAACACACCUCGGUCAAAUUGUACCACAGAACCAUCAACAUUAACCUCUCGGUUGGGACAAGUAUUUAAAUGACGCAACAAGUUUUUUGUCCCAUGGCUAGCCAUAUAAGUUACUUCACACCAUUUACAUUUAGCCUUACUCAUGCCAUCACCAUCUGUGAAUUUUUCGAAUUCAGACCAUACAACCGAAGUGUGUUUUCUUGAACGCUUAGAGGAAGUAGAGAUAUCUUCCUCAUCCUCAUGAACUAAGGAUGUAACUCUCUUGGAUCGGUCGGUAGUUGAAUAUUCUCCUUGAUCCUCGCUAUGUCUUGACAUGUCAACUAACAAAUCUUAAAUCAUAAGAUAAGCCCCACCUCAAUAUUUGGGCGAACAACACAAACAAGCUCCCCACAAACUCGUAAUGCUUCUGCUGUGACUUUGUAAUAUCUCUCACAAAUAGUAGAUAAAACAGGGGAGGAAAGCACCUAAAAUAUCAUAAUAAAAACAGAGAAAGUAAACACCCUGCAGCUGAUUUUGUAUAAACCCAACUCAGAAGCAGGUAGCAUAAACAGUUUAUAUACACAGCAAAGGUAGGAAUUAUACCGUCGAACAAAAGAUGACAGAAAACCGUCGAACAGUUACAAACUUUCCAAUAUAGAACCUAAUUCAGCAGCCCGAAACAGAAUGACCCAAUAAACAAAUCAAUCCGGAAGGCAAGAACAGAGAAACCAAACCGGAUCACCGAAAAGACCCUGCGCACCAGCUCAAGCAAUAGCAAACUGCAAAAUGCUGGAACAAAACAACAGCUAGUGCACGGAGCUCCCACUCUGCGCGGGAUGAUGGGACAGGUCCGACCACUUUGGUUAUAAUGUACACAGAUUUUUGCAAGAAAAUUAUUUCUGCGACUCGAACCAGAGGUCACACAGCAACAACUUUUACCUGAAAUGCUAGUCCUAAAUGUAACCAAAUGCGUCGCUGCAGUUUAAAAAGCAAUGCAGACACUUUCAUAACAAGACCAAGGAAUCAAGUAAUAAUUUUUCUAUUUCACGUAGGUCCUUUUGAAAAAAUACAUGCGCACAAUUUCAAGAACACUGUUCUUAUUGUAAAGAUCACAAGAACAAACAGACGAAACAACAUGAAUGAAUCACUUUGGCCCUAGCUACCAUCCGCUUAGCAACAGUCAUGAGUUCCAUGAUUCAAUUUCUUGGCUUUCAAAUGAAGAACACGUAUCUACGGAGCCCGUGAUUGAGGUUAAGCUGCAUUGUAUUGGUAAUGAAAGACCCGUCGUUUCACCCGAAGAAUAAGAACCUUUGGAGCCCCCAAUCAAGGUUAACCAAUCGAAAAACCAAUCGGAAUGACCCACAUUGCAACUCAAUCCAAUAGAAAAACCCAGCAAGCCCCACGCCCCGAUCAGCUUGCCACCAAAGAAGAGGCCAAACCCAGAAACGAGACAAGCGAGAAGGGCGUGCCCGCGACACGAUUACUUACCCGGCUGUUACGAAAACGGCUUAGGUUUGCGGCUGAACUGCGCCGGACGACGGCGACGGAGAUCUAAAAAAGACCGCAGAUUCGCCCAAUCAAAGCGCAAUCGCUUUCCGCGGACGGCGAAGACGGCGACGACGGCGGCGGCUGCGGCAACUGACGGCGGAAGGAGAAGGAGUGCUCGGAAAAAGACAGGAAUUCACCGGCGAGCUCUCGGCCUCUGAGUCCCGACUUGCAGUACGUCGUACGAUGGAGGGAAAGCGAGAAAACGAAGACGUCGAAGAGGGAGAGUAAAUGGGUUCGCUUUAGUGGGUUGAUAAGUGGGUCAUAAAUGGGUUGAGAGCAGACUCAGACCCAUUUAAAACCCAUUUAUUUCAGCUUUUUUACUUUUAAAACUCAUUAUGGGUGCAAGCUUGACCCAUUAACGACCCAUUUAGCUAUAAAUGGGUCUAUAAAUGGGUCAUUGACCCAUUUUUGACACCCAUAGCUAUGAUAAAGAGAGAUAUUUAUUUAAAUGUUUUCUGUUUGGAGACUUUAAUUUCUCGAUACCUUUUUAUUUUCGUAAAAAAUGACUUGCACUAUGGAAAUUAAUCGAGAUGUGUGAAAUAUGGGCUAAAUCUUGGAUUUCCGAAAUUGAAAUUGAAUGAAAAGAAAACGUGAGUGAUUUGAUGAAAGAGAAUAGCCAUUUGGAAAUUGAUGGUGAAAAUAUGUAGAACAGCUCUUGAUUGGAAAAUAGGGAUGGAAAUCAAAGUGGAUAUUGUAUUUGGCGAUUGCAAGCAUUGCAUCAUGAAAUACUAUUGGAAAAAUAUCACCACAAUUCAUUUAUUUCACAAAAAAAUGAAUGAUUUGAAAAAAUGGAACUUAAUAAAUGAUACCCGCCACGACUUAGAGCUAACUAUCGGCUCCCAAGGGGCAAACCUAGAAUACUGUGCGCAAAAUAUUUCAUAUCAAGGCUAAAAUUACAUUGUAUUAGCAUGAGACGUAACAAACUCGAAAUGCAUAACUAUCGGCUCCCAAGGGGAAAACCCUUCUUUCCCUUUCUAGCUUUCUCCGGGAAAAUUUUCCGAUCCGUUGCAAACCGUUCAUCAUCUUCCGUUCUGUAACAGAUCUCGACGACCUGCGAGGCUGCGAUGGAGAUUCGCAUCGGAAGAGGCUAAGCGUGGGCCAUCGCCGCCGGAUUCAUGGCCGCUCUCGCUGCCAUUUCCGCCAAGUUCUUCUCCUCUCAGGUGACUCGACCUCAUCCCUUCAUCUCCGAUUGCGCGCUUGUUCGUGCGAGCUAAUCUAUAGUUGUCCCCCGCCGUUCUGCUUCGGCACUCGAGGCUGUGCGAUUGUUCCAGCCAAUGCAAAUCGAAAUCUGGCGUGUGUGUUGGACCGUGUCCCUAAUGUAUCUCCGGCCGAAGCACUCGACGUCGCGUGGCGCGAUGUGAGCUGCGGCCGAUAGCCGGUGCGCGGCGAUACGUCCAAUUUUUGGUUGUUUGAGGAUUAGCGGGAGCUCUAAUUGAGGAAAGCUCCUGCUAAUUCUACUACUUCUGUGGAGAGUAGUUGAAUAGAUUACCGAGAGGGAAGCUUGGAAGCUAUCCGAGCGGCCUGUCGUGGCAAUCGGUCGACGCCUGCUCAGUAGCAGAGGAGAGUUUCGAAAGUUGAGGGGACAAGCUUAGGAAAUUCGUGCAAAAUCUCAGUUUAUGAGAUGGGGAUGCGGACAGAGAUUCUUGGUGAAAUUUAAAAGAAGAUAGCAUAGGAAAUAGGAAAUGUUCGCCUAGCAGGCAGGCCAGGCGGGGCGGGGUUGGGGCAUCUGGAGAACUCUGACUGGAUAUUUAGAAGGGAUUGCUAUUGUACAAUCAUCUUCUCGAAGGUGAGCUUCACAGACUGGGUUGUUAUCUGUCAGGUUUAUAUUUUCACUGGGAUGAAGAAGAAUAGCAAAGAGAGAGAAAACAGAGAACGAUUAUUUACUGUUGCUCUUCUUUUCCCCAGUGGGUAAGUGCAUCUGUUAUUCGUGGUGUCAUUAGCUGCGGAUGUCAGCAUUUCGUAGUCAACUCAGUCUGAGAUUGGUGCUUUUGCAGUGAACUAGUUAAGUCCUACCAUGAAUGGAGUUCGUUUGGUUGUAUCUACCUUAAACGUUAAAUCGUCAUUCCCUGGCACAAUUAUGUGAAAAGAAUUAGACGUUUGAUUCUCUUUGCGAGAAAAAUGUUUCAAUGUCUGAGUCCAGUUAAUUAGAUUCCUAGGAAUUGACGAUGAGUGGUCACUGCACUGCACUAAAGCCUGUUAUUUGACAGGAAUCUUUUCCUCAUGCUCCUCCUUUUCCUCCAUUUCUUUUGACUGUAGGGGCAGAUUGUUUAAAGAUAUCUUUCAUGUGUUUACUGAUUGUCUAAGAUGCACAGUUAAGCAUAUAUUCUGUCAUGAUACAUCAUUGAUGAAUUUUCCCAGUAACUGUUGCCAUUAGAUGGGUGUUGUUAAUAAAUUGUGCAGUUCAUGAACUCGGACAUAUUUUUCCUGGACUAACACCCAGACAUCUGAAUUUAUUAACAGGUCAUUAAGUAUGGUUUUGUCAUACUGUUCAAUGUUACAAUGUGGGGAUGUUAUGUCAACAGCCUAAAGAGUCUCUCGUCUCUUCAAGCCACAGUUACGAACUUUGCGACAAAUUUCCUCACUUCUGGAUUAGCUGGGUUCUUUUUGUUUGAUGAGUCAUUGAGAUACCAGGUACUUUGAUUAACUAUUUUCCUGCCCUGUUCUGCAAAGUUAUAUACUUCAAGGUUUGAUUUUUUACUGUGUCUAAAAUAAGAGGCAAGCUCUUAUUGUUACAGCCGGAGCUGUCAAAAGUAUUUUUCACUGAUACAAGUAAUAUCAUGACUGCAUUUAGUUCCCUCAAGAGAUAAAUUCUCCCUAUGGAAUCGGAACUGGUUAUCUUGAAAGUGGCAAGUAGGCUAAAAUUUAGGAGUCAAGUUAUGCAAUAGAUAACUUCCGAGUUUAUUAUCUCAUGAAUGCAUUGAGGGUGAGGAGGGUUUUAUAUUUCAGAUGAAAGCUUCUGAGAUCAAUGUGGUUGCCAAGGAAAAGAGUUAGCUCGCUUCAUGCAAACCUGUUGUUCAGGGAUUCUUGGCGUAGUCUCCACCUUGCGAUAAAAGGUGUCGAGUACUUCCUAGUUCCUGAUAAUGACUUGAGUUUUAGGUUUAAUCAUUGCUAUCUUGACUCACAUUAUGGUUGUGAUAUGGUUGUGAAAUUGUGAUUAAAAGGAUGCAGUGAUUGGAGAUUCUCACUCCACUUAGUCUAUGAAUGCAGAUUUCACAAAAUUCACAUGAAGUCCCGUUCUUAGUGGUUUGCAGGUGCACUUUUCAUAGUGAUUGGCGUGCUAAUUCUCAGCAAAUCAAGUAUUGAGAAGAAAAGUAGAGUUGAUUGAAAGUUCUCAGUUUAUGAGAGAUACCAUACGCCAUGCUUGAAGGUUGCCCCCUUUUGCUACUGGCAACAGUUGCUCUGCUGCUUUGGUUUAUGCUUUUCUUUCCCUUCUCCCUUUUAAGUGCCCGAACUGCCUGUUCUCAUUUAUCUUUUGUGGAUUUGCAGGUGACUUAGUAGAGAUCAGAAGUUCCAUUCUUGUGCCACUCUCAAGGAAAGGAGAAAAUGAAGUUGAGAAUUGAGGAUAUAAAGGGUGUUUCCUUCCUGGCCGGUGAUUCCGUGUGAACGAUCACUACUUUUCGUGACUGGCAGCACCGAGGAUGCUAUGUUGUUAAUGCCAGGAUUGCUAUGUUACUGUUAAUGGUGACUAUACAAUAUAGCUACAAGGCAAGCUGCAAAGAAGACAGAUUUGUGUUUAGAGAUGGGAUCCUAUCCUACCUUUUCACCAUGCCAAACGAGUAGGCUAAAACAUUGGUAAGUGAACCCUAAUUUAGGCGCUCUCGAAAGGCUGAAUGUGUCGUGCGCGCUUCGUGAGCGUGAAGCUAAAAGAUCAUCUUUACAUUGAUAUAAAUCAAGGCCUUGAUGUGAGCUUAUGCCUACAUGUGCUAUAAUUUUAUUUUAUUUUUUUUAAAUGCGGAGGAUUUAAUGGACAUCGGGCAUUACUGGGGCAAGGUCGUCCUCUAACUUACCCCGAACUGCUCUUUCUUUAACACCGUCCAUUCUUUUUGCUCUUUAUUAAUUUAUAAAAUAUGAAAAAAAAAUUGAUUUUAUUGUCUAAUUGAAAUUUUAUCGAGAAAAAGAUCCUUCUUUUUUUUUUUUUCAAUUUCUGCUUUGACAAAAGAGAAAUGCGCGAGUUGGAUCUUUCAAUUACUUUGCCGAAAAGGUAAUUACGUUAUAGCGUGUGGUACUCAUUGCAAUAAUUGGAUAACAAAAAUAUAUCCAUGGAUGUGGCUCUAUAGAUGAAAUCAUGCUGUUCUAUUGUUAUCGUGGUAAAGGAAAUAAUAGCUUUUCCUCAGAAAACUCGGUUAAAUGUGUGAUUUGAAACAUGACAAUGUGCGGCGAAAAUAAUAGCUUUUUUCAUCAUCAACCUAAACUUAAAAUUCAUAAAAUCAAUUUGGCGAAAAGAUCGGGAAAUUGUUAAACUGUACGACUUUUUGGGUCCAAUUGUUGCAAUACAUAAUUAUUCCGCUGUUUAGAUGACACCUAUAUGCCCUCUAAUAAACAUUGCAAAUACAAUAAUUUUGAUGUCGUAUUAGCGAAAGCAUGGUAUUCAACUUUCGUGCUAAAUGGAGCGAGAAAGCAUGAUAUUCAACUUUCGUGCUAGAUGGAGCGACGAUGAUCUAUUUGUUGUUAUGCUAUAAGAUAAGUGAAAUACUUAGAAAGAAAUAGUAGCCUAUAAUAAAGUGAUAAUCAAGAGGGUCUCGUGACUAAUCAAUGUCUAAAUAUUUUGAUGAGUCCUUUUAGUUAAAAAGAUCGAACCAAAAAAAUGAUCUCCACUCAAUCCAUUGAAAGUAGGUGAAUCACUCAGUUUAAUGGAAGAACUGGUACAUGAAUAAUGGUUAAGGGACUUUUUCUCGGGGAAUACACUCAAAUCCAUUAAAUUACCAAUUUUUAUCCAUGUGUUUUCCUAUUUGUUUUUUUUUUAGUAACCGAGGAGCCGUCGGAGACUCCCUUACGGGGUCACACCGCCCUUCGAUGCCCGGUGGCACCAUUGGACGUCGUCGCAAGUUACUAUUUAGACGUAAAAUCUCGGAAAGCUGGCCUAGUAAUCCACCCUAAGACCCCCAGUUAAGUCAUAGAAUGCAACGAGAGAGUUCAAACCCUCGACCUCGGCAAUGAGAAAGAGUAUGCACACCAUCUGCGCUGCCCAUGGGUGGGUGUGUUUUCCUAUUUGUUGAUCGUCAAUCAAUACAUUAUAUAUGUGCCUUACUAAUACUCACCAAUCUACUUCUUCACAAUACAUUUAUAACAUAUGACUUUAGCUAGCUACAUAUUGAGUCCUUGCUCAGGAGCACGAUGUAACUAAUAUUAAAUUUAUCCAUAAAUUUAUUAAAUAAUUAGGCAAAAGUAAAUUGCUUGCUUAGGAUCGAUUGUUUUGUGCUAUAGGCUUUUUGUUGGCUUGGCGGUCGUUGGGCCACCAAACUUAUGAUCGAGUUCAAUUCGAUUGAUCUGCUUGCCUCGUUUUGACAUGAAGAAAUAUUUUACAAGGUCAUCUUUCAUGAGAAUACACGAGCUCAAGAUUAUUAAAGGAGCGUGAAGUACUCUUAUAUGCUUGACUAGCUAUAUUUCCAUAAAUUUGCAAAUUGCAUUAACGGUUGUUUGAUUUGUGAAUAAUCUAUCUUUAAUAAAGAAUCAUUUGUUUUAGAAGUGCCAAAAUUAGAUCCGGCAAACUGGUAAGUCGAGGGUUGAGUUGAAAAUGAUCCGAAUCAAAAUCAACCAAUUUUAUGUGUAAUAUAAAUUUAGUGAUUGGUACGUGACUUAAGAUCAAUUCUAAAUUUAUUUUUUUUCAUUAGAUUAUUGAUUUUUGAGAAAACGAGCGGUUCAUAAAUCGACUCGUUGAAGAAGAAAAAAAAUUAAUUCUCGUUAAAAAUUUAAAAUUCUUUCUUGUUUUUGCUUCAAGUUCUCGUCCCGUGACCCACCGUCGGAACGAGGGCAUGAAAUUUGAUGAAAAGUCCAAGGAGAGAUAAAGGGCGAAGGAUUUAAACCUAACGUGCAGAUCGGACGGUCAGCAGGUUCUAAGCAAAUCGAAUCUAACGGAGGAGACAGCAGCGUCGGCUUAAAGCCAUGUUAGAUAGAAGAAAAAAAGAAAAAGGGAAAAUCAGCGUUGACCACUCCGCAUUUCUUCAAAAUUCUUCCAAAUUUGCAAAUUCCCUAUGGCGGGGGCGCUCGUCGGCGGGGCAUUUCUCUCGGCUUUCCUCCAGGUGCUCUUCGACCGGAUGGCCUCCCGCGAGGUCGUCGACUUCUUCCGGUCGCGCAAGCUCGGCAAGGGGAGGCUGCUGCAGAAGCUGAAGGCCGCGCUCCUGUCCGCGAACGCCGUGCUGGACGACGCGGAGGAGAAGCAGAUGACCAACGACCACGUCAGGAAGUGGCUCGACGAGCUCAAGGACGCCGUGUACGACGCCGACGACCUGUUCGACGAGAUCGCCACUGAAGAUCUGAAGCGCGAAGCCGGGGUCGAGCCUCGGGCUCUCGUUUGUAAGGUCUGGAGCUUUGCUGCAGACGCUCGUAGGAGUAAAUUGGGGGAUGAGUUAGAGAGGGUUCUGGAGAGAUUGGAGAGCGUAGUGAAGCAGAGAGAAGUGCUGGGCCUAGGGGAAGUUAUUCGCGAGAGGACGCCUAGAGUGACGACUUCGUUGGUCGACGAAUCGGGAGUUUUCGGGAGGGAAAAGGACAGGGAGGCGGUGAUCCAGUUGCUCUUGUCAGAUCGGGGCGAAAAGAACACCAGCGUGAUGGCCAUCGUUGGGAUGGGCGGUGUCGGUAAGACCACGCUAUCUCAACUCGUGUUCAACGAUGGUGCGGUGAAGGGGAGUUUCGAGUUGAGGGCGUGGGUUUGCGUGUCCGACCAAUUCGACAUCUGCAAGCUGACGGCGACGGCUCUCGAGGAGUUCUCCUCCUCAUCUAAGAAGGAGACUGAAAAUCUCGACCAGCUUCAGCUCCAACUGAAGAACUUCUUGACAGGGAAGAAAUUCCUAUUGGUGUUGGAUGAUGUUUGGAAUGAGGACUCAAAUCUUUGGGAUGCGUUCCUAGUUCCUUUUAUCUAUGGAGCAAGAGGCAGCAAAUCAUCGUGACGACACGAAAUAAGAGGGUCGCAUCGGUUGCUCGUGCCGUCUCGACAUACCCUUUACGGAAGUUGCAAGACGAGGAAUGUUGGGACUUGUUCACAAAACAUGCGUUUGAUGAGCAUAACUUCGAGGCACACACGAGACUUGAAGACAUCGGGCAAAGAAUUGUAAAGAGAUGUGAUGGAUUGCCUCUUGCGCUGAAGGCUAUAGGUAGCUUGUUACGCUGUGAGUCUGAUAUCAGGGAGUGGGAAAAAAUUGCAGAGAGUUAUAUUUGGAAUUUGGCACCUGCAAAGGAUGGAAUUCUCCCUGCGUUGUUGUUAAGUUAUCAUUACCUUCCUCCACAACUGAAACGAUGUUUUGCCUAUUGUUCAGUCUUCCCAAAGGAUUGUAUAUAUGAGAAGGACCAGCUGAUCUUACUUUGGAUGGCUGAGGGCUUGAUAGAACAGCCCAACGAAAGCGGGACAUUAGAGGAAAGUAGGUGAUCAGUGCUUCCGUGAUCUUGUGUCUAGAUCUUUACUUCAUAGGGUACGUGAUGUCGAAUCAAGCUUUUCAAUGCAUGACCUGGUCAAUGACUUAGCAAGAUAUGUAGCUGGUCGUUCUUUUUUUAGCUUGGAUGGAGGCAAUGCACACCGCGUGUCCUCAAGCACUCGCCAUUUGUCAUUUGUAAGAACUCACUAUGAUGUCGUUUCUAGAUUCAGAGUGUUAGCCGGGGCAAUGAAUUUGCGUACUUUCCUGCCGCUAAACGUGGCUCACGUGAGACUUUGCGAGUACAAUUUGUUGACUGAUGAGGUACUGCAUGUUCUGUUGCCGAGCCUGAGACGGUUAAGGGUGCUAUCUUUGUCUCAUUAUUGGAAAAUCUCAACGUUGCCCAGUUCAAUUGGAUGUUUGAAGCAUUUGCGCUAUUUGAAUCUCUCCUAUAAUGAAAGUCUAAUCAGAUUGCCUGAUUCAGUUACUGCUCUAUACAACUUACAAACCUUAAUUCUUGCUUACUGUCGCUCUCUCAUUGAGUUAUCGAGCAACAUGGGCAGCCUAACCUGUCUACGUCAUCUUGAUAUAAGGGAUACAUCCCUGAAUAGAAUGCCGUUGGGGAUGAACAGACUGAAGGAUUUGCGGACAUUAACUAAUUUCGUGGUGGCCGAAAACGGUGAGACCAGGGUUAGGGAGAUAGGGGAACUAGGGAAUCUUAUGGGUACACUCUCCGUACAGGGUUUGCAAAAUGUUGAUAGUUACCGAGAUGCCGAGAUAGUCAAUUUGCGAGAAAAGAGGUACUUGAAAAAGUUAGUACUGGAAUGGGGUUCUAAUAACAAUAUUACGCAGCAAAAUAACUUAAAUAUAUUGGACAAGCUGCAACCUCAUUGGAACUUGAGAGAGCUUACCAUUAUAUCCUAUAGUGGUAGGUCAUUUUCCGAUUGGCUGGGACACGGUUCAUUCUCUAAUAUGUCAGUUGUUCAUCUUGAAUCUUGCAAGCACUGUGUGUCGUUGCCUCCUUUAGGACAGCUACCAUCUCUGGAGAGGUUGAUGAUCGAAGGAUUUGAUGGAGUUACAAGUGUGGGUACUGAAUUUAAUGGUAGUAACUGUAUAUCUUUCCAGUCACUUAAGUACUUGGAAUUUACUGACAUAUGCAGCUGGAAAGAGUGGGCUUGUUUUGCAAUAGAGACAGGAGGUCUUGCCUUUGCACAUCUGCAGGAGCUUUGUAUUAGAAAUUGCCCGCAGUUGAGUGGAGGUUUACCCAGCCAUCUCCCUUCUCUAACAGCCUUGUCCAUUGGAAGGUGCCCACAGCUAAUGUCUUCUCUACCAUUUGCACCACUUCUCCGUGAGAUCAAAUUGGAUGAUUGUGGAAAGGUCUCUGGAGUUGAGCCCCUCCUAAAUGGCACUGAGUUACGAGAUAUGAAAAUCUGGAAUCUUUCAACCCUUCCCUUGAGGUUUCUUCCUCCUACCGUGAUAUAUAUAUAUAUGUGGGAGCUGCGAUUCACUUAUAUCCUUUCCUCUGGAAAUUUUCCCCUCACUUAAAGAUAUUAAGUUGUUGGGGAUUAAAAAUUUGGAACAUCUUGCAAAUUCAGACGGUUCAUCACUUCUUCUCCAUUCGAUGGCCACAACUCGAGUCAUUUCCCGAGCGGGGUCUACCCUCCAAGUUGGUCGAGCUUUCACUCUUUGAUUGUGACAAGCUCAUCACUGGCCGCAAGGAUUGGGGUCUUCAAUCGCUAUGCUCUCUUGGAACUUUUUCCAUUCGGGGAGAGAAAAAUAUAGUCAUUUCCUGAGAUAGGGCUUCUGCCAACCUCUCUUACCUCUCUGCAUAUCUCUUUCUUUGAGAAUCUGACUUCCCUGAACUCCAGAGCGCUUCAUAGCCUGAGCUCCCUUGAAAACCUCUCCAUUAUCGGAUGUCCUAAGCUCCAUUCCUUCCCAAAAGAGGGACAAAUUCUGCCCGCUUCUCUUACCUCUCUGUCGAUUUAUUUUACGGGUCUAAAAUCACUGGAUAACUUAGGGCUCCACCACCUCACUUGUCUCAAAGAAUUUCGCAUAGAUUUCUGCUUCAAUCUUCGAUCCAUGCCAGCGGAGGGCUUGUCAUCCUCCCUUUCCAAUCUAUUUAUCAAUAAGUGCCCUAUGCUGGCGAAAAGAUGCCAGCGGAAGAAAGGGAAAGAUUGGCCCCUAGUUUCGCACAUUCGCUGCAUCGUGAUUGAAGGUGUGCUCGUCACAUGAUCGAAUAUCUUGCUUUACAAUCCCUCCUUUUACCAAGAUCUCACUCAGGUAUCUCCCUUGGCCCUACACUAAGUAAGCCAUUUAUUUAUUCAGGACAUACUUCGGUCGCUCUGUGCUAUCCUUCCAGCUAAUGCAAAUCAAAAUCUGGCGUGUGUGUUGGACCGUUUCCCUAAUGUAUCUCCGGCUGAAGCACUCGACGUCACGUGGCGCAAUGUGAGCUGCAGCCGGUAGCCGGUGCGCGGCAAUACGUCCAAUUUUUGGUUGUUUGAGGAUUAGCGGGAGCUCUAAUUAAGGAAAGGUCCUGCCAAUUCUACUACUUCUGCGGAGAGUAGUUGAAUUACCGAGAGGGAAGCUUGGAAGCUAUCCGAGCGGCCUGUUGUGGCAAUCGGUUGACGCCUGCUCAGUAGCAGAGGAGAGUUUCGAAAGUGGAGGGGACAAGCAUAGGAAAUUCGUGCAAAAUCUUGGUUUAUGAGAUGGGGAUGCGGAGAGUGAUUUUUGGUGAAAUUUAAAAGAAGAUAGCAUAGGAAGUAGAAAAUGAGCCGAACACCUAGCAGGUGGGCCGCGUGGGUUUGGGGCAUCCGGAGAACACAGACCGGAUAUUUAGAAGGGAUAACUAUUGUACAAGCAUCUUCUCGAAUGUGAGCUUUGCAGACUGGAUUGGUAUCUGUCAGGUUUAUAUCUUCACCGGGAUGAAGAAGAAUUGCAGAGAGAGAGAUCAUAGAGAAGCAUCAUUUGAUUAUUUACUGUUGCUCUUCUUUUUCCCAGUGGGUACAUGCAUCUGUUGUUUGCAGUGUUAUUAGCCGGGGAUGUCAGCAUUUCCUAGUCAACUCAGUCUGAGAUCUGGUGCUUUAGCAGCAAACUAGUUAAGUUCUACCAUGAAUGGAGUUCAUUUGGUUGUAUCUACCUUAAAUGUUAAGUCGUCAUUCCCUGGCAGAAUUACGUGAAAAGAAGUAGAUGUUUGUUUCUCUUUGUGAGGAAGAAGUUUCAAUGUCUGAGUCCGGUUAAUUAGAUUCCUAGGACUUGACAAUAAUUGGUCACUGCACUGCACUGAAGCCUGUUAUUUGACAGGAAUCUCUUCCUCAUCCUCUUCUUCUUCCUCCAUUUCUUUGGAC